rnacentral:lncRNA from 1 species
UCCUGAAAUUUAAUUGAUUGAUUAAUUAAACACAGUAUAGCUGACAGUAAACAAUUGAAGUGAAACUUUUACAGAAUCUGAAUCUCGUGUGUACGUACCUGACAUUGACUUGAGAUCUCAAUUGAUGAUGACUUGCUUGCCUAUCUUGAUGCAAGGAAUGUGAGCUAUCUUGCUCCACUCUUCUCCCGUCUUCUCCUGACACCUCUUCAUCAGAGAAGGACAGUUGUAGAUGCGCAAACAAGAGAGCGAUGCCAGCAAAUCCUCUUUUGGCAGGAAUUUGAGACUAUCACACUCGUAAAUUUGGAGCUCUUGAAGAGAAGUGAGGUGUUGAAUUCCCUUUCCCUCCAAAGAUUUCAGACUCGUAAAUUUGGAUGAUAGCGUCCUGAAAUUUAAACAAGUAUGUUUUUUAAUGGUGGUAUAGUUGAGUUAAACAGUUGAAAAGUUAAAACUGAUUGAUUAAUUAAACACUAUAUAUAGAUGACAGCAAACAAUUGAAGUGAAACUUUUACAUGAUCUGAAUCUUGUAUGUUAUUCUAUGAAAAAUGGUGCUAUGUACGUACCUGACUUUGAGUUGAGAUCUCAAAUGAUGACUUGGUCGCCUAUCUCGAUGCAAGGAAUGUGAGCUAUCUUGCUCCACUCUUCUCCUGUCUUCUCCUCACACCCGUAAUACAUGUGUUACACGCGAGAUAUUGACAAAACCCUCAUUAAUUAUUUCCUCACUAACAAGGCGAUAAUUUUGCCAGGAUCAUACAUCCAAGAAUAUGACAACCUGAGUACAAACGAUUUGAUUAUUUUUGCAUCCCAAAUACCACAUAUCCUAUGAUUUCAUCCAAAAACAGUUCAGAAUAUUCAUCUAAAGAACUUAGUUAUGAACAGAGGAGAUCCACAUGAUUUUACGAUGAAGUACAAUUUGACAAAAUAAUUCAUGAUUUACAUAAGAGUAAACGUGUUACCAGUACCACUGCAGCACUUGAAAGUUAAAGUAUCACAAGCAGAUAAUAGGGGCCUUACUAGCUCCGCUUUUUUCCAUGUGCCGGUUGACUCUUCCAACCAUCCAAUAUUCCGGCCUUCCAAUCCAUUGAUGAUGUGGUCGAAUCAACUAGUAUAUAAAAGUAUGGCAUUAAAUAUGAAAAUGCAGAAUGUGGCAGGGCUUAUAUCUCUGGUUUUAUUAAUCUUGUUAUAUACAGGUAGAAAACACUGGAUAUCUGGCAAAACAUUUCCAGGAUGAAGUUCACAUAAAGUCCGUUUUUUCCCAGUUUGCAUGAAAUUCCUACUAAGUAGGUUUGUUCUGCUAUAAGCAAUAAUGUACAUGAUCACACAACUGAGGUUCAGAGUUGUUACCAAGAAAAUUUCUAACAUACGACGGCCUACUCCAACCAUCCUCUAUCAAAAUUAGGUUAAGGCGUAUCAUCAAUUUCUCUGUGGCAUCUUCCACCAAAACAGCUAAUCAAUCAGACAGUCGCCUCCGUAGGGGACGAUCCUGAAGAAUCCAAAUAAAGGUACUUUAUUAGAUUUGGUAUCAAAGUCGGAUGUCAUCUUACAUAUAGAAAUUAGGAAACUUACCUUUUUGUCCUGCUACAACUUUAGAUAUUCAAGUGAUUGCUAAUAAAGUCCACAAUGGUAGAAAAGAAUGAUGUAAUGUCUUAAUUCCUUCGGAUCAGCUUCUGGGAGAAUAAGAUGUUCACAAGCUGUGACAAAGAAGCCUUAGCAGAUGCAAGCUGAACGCCAGUGGAAAAAUACCAAGUAUCCUUAUAUAUGUGCACUUAAGUUGGAUUAGUUUUAAGUAGAAACUACAUUCACUUCGGACAAAGUACCAGUCUUCUUUAUACUUGAUCUAUCAAUAAAGUUAGCAGCACGUGCUGCCUUCAAGAACAAAUUCCCUGGUUGAUCAUGCUGAAAUGGGCCAGAAUGCGCCCUUCAAAUUUUUUUAGAUCUGUACAAACAGUAGACUAUGAGACCAGAUGUAGCUUAAGGUUAAAGCCUUGUACACGUCCGAAGAUCAAUUAUGCAUGUAAAUAAAAUUAUAUAAAGACAAUGUCACACACAAACAAAUGUACACAAAGAUAUAUUUAAUCUUUACCUUGACUCACUUUGAGCACAAAACCCAUGCUUACAACUGCUCAAUUGAAAUCUCAUGGUUGACAUCCUAGCGCAGAGACCUUUAUAAAUACUUUGCUUAUGUUGUAAUGAUCAUGUAGUUCAUUUCAAAUAUCUAUAUCUAAGGUUUUGUAGUUGAUUUCUAACUAAUUUAUCCUAAAUUCUUUAAUACUUUCAAAUCCCUCAUCCAAACGCAGGGUGAGAGAAGUAGGAGUUUUAGCAUACACAACUCAUUGACAUAGGACAAUGCAAAUCAAGGCGAAAAAAAACAGAUCUGUCGACAUGAUAACACAAGUCACCUCACCUCCACUAAAACGGCUUGCGAAGUCAUUAUGUGUGCAUUAUCAGAUUACUUGCUUUUAACCUCUGGGAAGACUAUGAAGAUCAUGACGAAGCAUUUUCAAAAUUUGAGUAUAUGAGCACAAGCAUUGCAGGUGAUCCUGAGCGAUGUGUCAGAACCAGUUUGCAACGUCUACAUUAAACUCCUGAAAACAAUGCCCAUAUUGUAGGGUUCUCACAGAACAACCUUGAGACAACAAACAAGUAAGGCAGACUUCCGUACUGAGUGGAGAGAUAGAGCUCAUGGUUCAGAGUGAUGCCUUGCAUUGGUCCUUCAGAAACCCUGAAAUAAAAUUAAAAAAGGAACCUUGUGACUUAUUGCUCUUUUCUUAAUUUAUUCAUAUUUGUCCAGCCAAUCAAAGUGGUAACAAGUUAGAAACCUUGAUUCUAAGUUCCAAAUGUAGAAUAUCAAAGCUCAUAAGAAUUAGAAACAAAGAGAAGAUUUCAGAGAGUUUUACCUUCACUGGUUUUCUCCAACUCCCAUUAUUUCCAUGUCAAAUGGGGAAAAAUCGUGUUUAAUCCUUUCUUCUCAUCGCUAUUGAAUGUCAAUGUCAACUCGAGCUCAACCCUUUUCCAUACCUCACCUAGAGAAGACGGUCCUGAUUCAAAGAAGAAGAAAUAAUGAUUUAUAAAGUGAUCUUAAUUACUUGUGCAAGUUUGACAAUCUGGACCUUUUCCUUUUGUUAUGAUUCACGCAUAUAAUCCAUUGAUAAUGAUCAUGAAACAAGAAAAGAAAAGGAAACGUAAGUUACACUCCAGUAUUCAACGACUUACGAUGGAAUCUGUAAAAGUGCAGCAGCCAGCCAAAUUCACACGUUGUUUUUGUGCAGAAACAUAUCGGCACCUAUGUAAAGAUGACAGAUGCAAUGAAAGAUGAGUAAGCAUUCCACCGUAUUCAAACCACAACAGUAAGAGGGAAAAAAAACAUCAUCAAGGAGUUACACAACUCACUGACAUAGGACAAUACAAAUUAAGGCAAAACAAACAGUGUCAAAAUCCAAAAUGCCUUACUUCUUUGAGUCAUUAUGUUUGCAUUAUGCCCUUAUCAGACUCCUUGCUUUUUUGUUUAUGAAAACUCUGGGAAGACUAUGAAGAUCGUGAUUCGUGAGGAAAGAAUAUCUCUGCAUAGAAAUCCAAAAGGCCCCAUAAGCGAAGCAUUUCCAAAUUUCUGAGUAUACGAGCACAAGCAUUGCAGGUGAUCCUGAACCAUGUGGCAAAACCUGUUUGCGACGUCUACAUUAAACUCCUAAAAACAAUGCCCGUAUUGUAGGAUUCUCACAGAACAACCUUGAAAUAACCAAGAAGUAUGGCAGACUUCCAUCAUGAGCGGAGAUAUAGAGCUCAUGGUUCAGAUUGAUGCCUUGCAUUGGUCCUUCGGAAACCCUGAAAUAAAAUUAGAAAAGGAAUCUUGUGACUUAUUGCUCUUUUCUUAAUUUAUUCAUAUUUGUCCAGCCAAUCAAAGUGGGAACAAGUUAGAAACCUUGAUUCUAAGUUCCAAAUGUAGAAUAUCAAAGCUCAUAAGAAUUAGAAACAAAGAGAAGAUUUCAGAGAGUUUUACCUUCACUGGUUUUCUCCAACUCCCAUUAUUUCCAUGUCAAAUGGGGAAAAAUCGUGUUUAAUCCUUUCUUCUCAUCACUAUCGAAUGUCGAUGUCAACUCGAGCUCAACCCUUUUCCAUACCUCAUCUAGAAAAGAUGGUCCUGAUUCAAAGAUGAAAAAAAUAAUGAUUCAUAAAGUGAUCUUAAUUACUUGUGCAAGUUUGAUCAUGAAGCAUUCCACCGUAUUCAAACCACAACAGUAAGAGGAAAAAAAAAACAUCAUCAAGGAGUUACCUCGUCCUGUGCAGGAGAAUCAUAUUGGUGUCAUAGCUAGCCAGAGCACCCAAUAACUUACUUGGUAUUGUAAGCAAACACUUGUUGCUCUUGGAUGAUAUUGUCCUGAAAUUUAAUUGAUUGAUUAAUUAAACACAGUAUAGCUGACAGUAAACAAUUGAAGUGAAACUUUUACAGAAUCUGAAUCUCGUAUGUACGUACCUGACUUUGAUUUGAGAUCUCAAAUGAUGACUUGGUCGCCUAUCUCGAUGCAAGGAAUGUGAGCUAUCUUGCUCCACUCUUCUCCCGUCUUCUCCUGACACCUCUUCUCCAGAGAAGAAGAGUGCCAGAUUCUCAGACAACGGAGCGAUUCCGGCAAACCCUCUUUUGGCAGGAAUUUGAGACUAUCACACUCGUAAAUUUGGAGCUCUUGAAGAGAAGUGAGGUGUUGAAUUCCCUUUCCCUCCAAAGAUUUCAGACUUUUCAUUCCAGAGAUUUGGAGAGUGUGAAGAGUGGUAGGGAGCAGCUGUUCCUCGAGCACCGCCACCAACACAUCCUCGCUUCUCCAGAUCGUAAAUGUUCGAAGGGAGACAAGUCGUUGCAAACCCCAGUACUCCACUGAAGGCCUCAGUUUCUCACAACCGCUGAUUCCAAAUGAUUGUAGGUUGGGAGGCAAACCUCCUUCUGCAAAUGACUCAACAUUUGGACCAUCAGAUAUCCACAAAUCUCGAAGGGCGGUGAGGGUGUGUAUUCGAUCGGGCAAUAACUUCAAAUUCUUGCAAUUACCGACUGUAAAACUAGCCAGGUUGGGAGUGGGCAACCUUCUCCAAUGGAAAGAGACCAGAUUUGGACAAGAAUAGAUACAGAGAGCACCGAGAUGAGUGAGAUUUUCAACAUCAGCUCCUUCUCCAAUGGAAAGGGAUUCUAGAUUUUCAAUGCCGUAGAAUUGAAGAGAUGAAAGUUUGGGGAAAACGCCCAGCGGGAAGGACCUCAGUGAAUCACAGCUGCCGGUCAAAUCCAAAUGUUGAAGGGAUGUCAAUUUGGCCAUCAUCUCAUGAGAUAGGAAUUCUAAUCUCCUGCAAUUAAUUAUCUCAAGAAAUGUCAAUGUAGUGGGUAGACCAUUUCUAGGGAACGACAAGAGGGACCCGCAAUCACGGAGAGUCAAUUUUUGAAGACGACUGCUCAGGUGCGGCUGCAAGCAAUCUGUGCGACUCAAAAUUUGAAUAUCAAGCCCGGAAAGCGAGGACAGCGACUCCGUCUCUAGUAACGACGAGAGACCAGGGCAUCCUCUUAUUCGCAGAUCCUGAAGAGAUUGUCGCAAGGACUCCGUCUCUAGUAUCCAUCUACUUCUAGUAGCCCUUUCAUGCAGAACCCCACAAUCCAACACUUCAAGCUUUUUCAAGCAAGGAAGAUGAUCGGGCAAGUUUCCCCUCAGCUUCGGACAAUUCUCUAAAACCAGCUCCUCGAGACGAGGAAAGUCCGGACAUUGACCUCUACCUGGACUUCGCAGCCAUUCUUCCCAUUCUGGCAUAUCUCCAAAUACCAGCUUCUCUAAAGAACGAAAUGGCUGAAUUAGAGAAGUUCCAUUGACACCAUAAAACUCAGCACCAAUACCCAUAACACAUUUCAUGUUGCUAAUAUAGAGCUCCUUAAGAGCAGGCAACUGCCCAACUGGUGGCAACGACCAACAAUUACUAAAACCACAAAGGCACAUGACUUUUAUGUUGGAGAAGGAAGAGUCUCCCAACCAAUUCGGAAAGCUUGUUCCACCAUAACAUCUAAUGGCCAGUUCCACCAAAUUUACAGAAGGUUGUAAUCUUUCAAGUACAUUUCUCUCUUUUAUGGAAUCAUCUGCAUCCUCUCUACCCCAUGCCAACUCUAUUUGAUUGAGAUCUUUCUUAUCCUUCAAAUUGGCCCGCAAGACAUCCAUAGCAUCGACUACAUUCUCUAGAUUCAAGAUAGAAAAUUUCCCUCCAAGAUUGGGUAACUCCCCCAAUUCCCCAAUGCCGCCAGACCUAGUAGAUGUCCCCAACACAUAAGCAGUGAGUGUUCUCAAACUUUUUAGUCUGCCCAUUCGCACCGGCAUCUCUUUUAUACCAGUAUAUCCAAUAUCAAGAUGGCGCAGAUUAAUCAGUUUCCUCAUGUCUACAGGCAAUUCAACAAGAGAGGUACAACCUACCAACAAUAAAGUUUGCAAAUUGUAGAGACUACUCACGGUAUCUGGUAACCUUUCAAUUGCAGUGUAAGAGAGGUCAAUGUAGCGCAAAUGUAUGUGGUUACCAAUGCAAUCAGGUAAGCUACUGAUGUUCUUAUAUCCUGCCAAUGAUACUGCCCGUGAACAUUUUAGCGUUGGCAACAAAUCAUUUGGAACCUUACUACUUACAUAGUAAUGCCCAUAUUCGUACCUUAAAGACAUGGGUAAGAAGGUGCGCAAAUAUUUAACUCCAUUUAAUGGUUGAAACUUUUUAGCGUCAUUAAAUCUUCCUUUCGCAUAUGACAAAUGUCGAACUCUUUUAGGAACUUCAUGAUCCUUCCUCAUCCAUCCUAAAACAAAAUUCUCUAGACACGAACAAAGCCAAGUCAUUAAUGAGAUCAUGCAUUGUGAAUCCAUGCUCCUCAGUUCUUGAUCUUUGAAUUAGUGAUCGUGAUACUAAUUCAUUAAAAUAGUUCUUGCCAACCUCCUCCAUUAUUUCCUUGCCCUGCGCUUGUGAAAUUAAACCCGCUGCCAUCCAAAGUCGAACUAAAUUAUCCUUCUCAAAUUCAUAGUCCUUGGGAAAAAUUGAGCAAUAAGCAAAACAUUGUUUUAAAUAAGUAGGGAGGUAAUGAAAACUCAAUCUUAAAGAUGGAAGAAUACUAAUCUCUUGUUGUAGUUCCCAAAGAUUGCUAUUCAAUAAAUGAUUCCAUUUCUUGUGGUUCAUGUUGCAACUUAAGAGACCUCCAAGUGUUUUCGCAGCUAAAGGGAGACCAUUGCACUUACGUGCAAUUUUUUUUUCCAAUUUCUUCCAAGUCUGGAUGUGCACUAGGGUUUUCAUUUCUAAACGCAUGUUUUGCAAGUAACAACCAACAAUCAUCAUGCGACAAUUGUUCUAAAGAUUGAAUAGGAACAGUGUGCACGAUGGAUGCAACACUUUCGUUCCUUGUUGUCACAAUGACCUUACUUCCCCUCGCCCCAUAAGUGAAAGGAGCUUUUAGAACACUCCAAUCGUUAUAAUUGUCAUUCCAAAGGUCAUCCAACACAAAUAGAUAUCUCUUUCCCAUUACAUGUUCCCUAAGAUCAACUUGAAGCAAGCUCAUAUCUGACUUAUCACAGGGUUUUGAAGCAAUUGACUGAAAAAGGGUUUUAGUGACCCUAAAAGCAUCAAAAUCUUCGGAGACACACGCCCAAGCUCGAACAUCGAAAUGCUCUUUCACACUGUCAUUAUUGUAAAGGAGCUGAGCAAGGGUUGUCUUACCAACUCCUCCCAUUCCCACUAUCGGGAUUACAGAUAUAUUGCCGCCGCUUGCAUCAUCAGAUAGCAGCAGUGUUUUCAACUUCGCUUCAUCUUCAUCCCUACCGUAAGUAGAGAAUUCAUGCUCAACGAAGGAAGUUGUGGGAGUUCUUUGUGAAACCUUAACCCCGACACCUUCUCUAAGACCGAGCACAUCUGUCUGUUGUGCAAGGUGUUCCAACCUUUGAAAUAAGGUUUGUAUCCUACCAUUCAUGCCUUGAUAAAAAGGAUUAAGAGAAGUAGAGAGGAAGUUCCACACCUGGGUUUUCUUAGUUGAAAAUUCAGCUUCCACCUUGCUUCGCAAAACUUCAGUAUCGAUCUCGUCCAGCAGGUCCUCGGCAUCGAAGACAGCAUGUUUGAGCUCGUCAAGCCACUUUCCCACACGGUGUUUCUCCAUCUGCUUCUCCUCUGCAUCAUCAAGCACUGCAUCAAGGGCCAGAAACCUCAGCUUCAGUUUCUCCAGGAGUGAAUGAUCAAGUUUUUUUCCCCGGAAGAAGUCCAUCAACUCCCCAGAACCGAUCUUGUCGCACAACGUCCGAAUGGAAGCAGAGAGGAAUGCCUCUCCAAUCAAAGCUCCUGCCAUCUCUCUCUGUUUUUUUUUUUUUUGGAACAAAGUAUAAAUUUCAAAGAAGUGUUCCGGUGAGGAACUAUAAGAGCUUUUAUGGUUUAUUGUAAUCUCAAUUUUGUUUCAGAAAGAGAUGUCUUGAUUUAUUUUAGGUCAAUAAUGCAGGGGGCCUCACACGUUCCUAAAAAAAAGUUGUUUCAUUAAUCAUUGUUUUUUAUAUAAUUUAAUAGGUUGUCUUGUUUUGUUUUGGGAAAGGUAGUUUCCUAGUAGUUGGUGUGGAAAUUCUGGGUUGGGUGACUUUUGUUUUAUUCUUCUUGUAUGUGUUUUUCAUAGAUUCUUUCCAGGAUAUUCCACCAAAUAUGAAAUCUUUGAAGAUGUCAAACUCUUUCGUGUAUUACUUUGUGGAGAAUUAGGUACUUCUGUGAGUGACAAAUUUUUAUUAGAUAAUGUCAGGAAUGCUAAAUUUAUAAACAAAAUUUUAAAAACUAAAUGACAUUGAAAUUGAUGAUUAGAUCAUUACUUAAACGUUGAUAAACGUGCUCAUUUGACAUAUCAUUUAGUUUAUAAAUUUUAUCUAUAAAUUUUGUCUCUCUAACAUUACCUUUUUUUUACUGCUGCUCCUUUAGACACUACAAUGUUUUCGUAUGGACUUCUUUUUCUAGCUCGCAUAGGUUCAACAUUUAAGGCUGCUGAGUUAAUCAUCACUCAGACUCGUGUUGAUUUCUUUGAAUAUACUGUGGCAUUUUCCUCUGCUUUAGAACCAUUAAACAGUUUAUGAUGGCAAAGUGUCUCUGUAAACUAAAACAAAGAACUAGGUUCGUAAUCAUAUACUCAAUCCAUUAUGUCUUCUCACUACUCGAGCUCAAAAUUAAUAGUUAAUUUAUGUGCCUUGGGAUGUUAAUUCAUAUUUGAGUCGAUACUAGAAGUCGUGUUCGUGUAUGAUUUUUCAUUUAAUUGGAUUUAUUUUUGCUUACCACUUUUAAGUUGUGAAGAGGUUAGAAUGUCCGGAAUACGAAGCAGAACACCAUAUGUUAUUAUACAAUUAAAAGUAAUUUUUUAAGUAUUUCUUCAAUUAUGUGAUGACGUAUGAUGUUCUUCCAAUUAAAUAAAUAAAAUAGAUAGAAAUAAAAAUUCUUGCAUGGUCUCCGUAGUCUAAUCAAAUAAGUAAAGAAAAGGCAAACGGGAACCAGUAGCAGGAAGGAGGAAGCUAACAAUUGACAUUAAUUAAUCCAUAUUUCUUCUGCAAAAUGCUCUGCUACUCUACUUUAAGGUCAGCUAUGAGUCCCUCAUUUUGGUCGUUGACGUAGUGUGCAUUAUGCGCAUACCUCACUAUGCAGUUUGUAAUAUUGCCACCGAUUUUCCAAUUCAACCUACCAACGAAGCAGCUUCCUACUUACUACCUUUCCAAUGUGAAUGUGAUAAAAUAGAAGGAUUAAAGUUGAAACGAAAUUUUAUCUCUCUUUCAUUGCAACUCUAUUUGGUUAGACAAUAUGUUUUUUUGUUAUUGAUGCGUUACUUUUUUGUAUACUAAAUGUAUUCAUAAAUCUCAUGAUCUAGAUGGGCCAAAUCAUCGUCACAUCAUAUUAUUAUUAGUUAGGAACAAUUUAGCUAUAAAUAUUCACCUUUUUUUUCGGUUACAUAAUAAAAUGAUUCUCUUGGACACAUCACUUUUCUUUCUCUUUUUCUUUUUUUGUGAGAAAAAUAAAAACAAGCACAUCACGUAAAGUGUACGGAUGAAACACAAUUCCUUUUACAUAAAAACUUAUUAAUUAGCUCUACAAAUCUGCACGAAAUCAAAUUAACCACUAGUAUGCCAUCAAAUGUACAUGUUUGGAUUUUUAUUUUUAUACAACAACAUAUAUACACUAUAAAUUGACACCCAAAAAAACCCAUAAAACACCAUAAAAGAAUGUGAAGCACAUAAAAAAAUGCUUUUCUCUCUGGAUCAGGAUCCUCUCCUGAGCAAAUGGAGAUGAUCCUCCUGACCGUGUACAUCGGACCGUUCAAAUGUUAUCCAACGGUUACAAUUAUUAUAACUUUUAGUGAAGCCCCCUGUUUGUAGCCGUUGGAUAAAUUUUGAACGGCCCGAUGGGCCCGGUCAGGAGGAUCCUCUCCAUUUGCUCAGGAGAGGAUCCUGAUCCUUUCUCUCUACCUACAAAGUAGUUUCCUAAAUACUAACUAUUUUUCGUUGUGAUCGGAAUACGGUUGGUACAUCAUGUGUUUUUAUAUAAGUGGCAGAAAAUUUGAUUUUUUAAGUUAUUAAAUUUUUAACACACAUAUCUCAUUAUUUAUAUAGUGACACGUGAUGUACUACCCCAUGUACCGAUCACACUGAAAAAUCUCUUGUGAAUGUGGUCAAGUUGAAAGAUAGGGGCCUUCUUGGGAACUACAUUUCAAAAGUGGAUAUUAAUUUAAGGGUAAUGUUAGGAAAGUUAAAUUUGUAAAGUAAAUUACAUGAAAGUUAAUGAUUAUAUUAUUACAUGAAUGUUGAUUAACGUGUUUAUUUUUUAAUGAUGACACAUUAAUUACUUUACAAAUUUAAUCUCUUCACAUGACUUUUAAUUUAAAGGAGAUGAAGUUUCAUUGCAAGCUGCUACUUACUACUUUCGAUGUAAUAGCCACAACCGAUUGAAAAAUAUUGUUUGUUGGCACGCGAUCUUUAAUUUAACAAAGAAUUUGUCUUAUUAAUUUGUUUUGUUUUACUUUUUGGAACUUUUUGUUUCUCUUACCAGUGACCAACUCAUUAUGAUUUGUCUGUAUUUUUUUAAGUUGAAACAUCUCAUAUAUAAGUUGAACAAAGUUUAUUUUCCAAUGCAUUUGAAAAUUUGUUUACUUUUUUAGGUGUAACUUUAUGAUAGCAGGGGAGGCUGAGUGGGUUGGGCAGAUAGGGUUGUGGACCGACCAACCCUAGCCUAUAAUAUAGGUCAAGUGUAGAUUUGUAGGGCUCUAGGCAUUAGGUGGUAGGUAGCUUAGGCAGAGAUUGACCGUUUGCCUGGAUUGAUUAAUUAAACCUAUUUACGCAAACCCUAAACGCCAAACCACAAAUCCAACUUUCAAGUAUGAAUCAUGUCAAAUGUCCCAACAGAGCUGCCCUUCGACAUUUUCCUCCAUCCCAAGGAUUUGGUAACACGCCACACCAGGAUCCUCUCCUAUAAAAAAACUAAGUCUGCUGAGCAGGCGAUCGUGGUCAUUGAAAUUUAAUCUAACAGCUAUAAUUAUUAUAAUUUUAGAGGAUCUAUCUGUUUGUAACCAUUAGAUUAAAUUUCAACCACCACGAUCACCUACUUAGUAGACUUAGUUUUUUAAGAUCAUGAGAGGAUCCCGAUCCAUAAAAAAUCACAGCUUACACCCAAUUUUUUUUUUAAUUUUUGUUUUUAAGUUUUCUUUAGCGUCCAACCAAAUUGAGCACGGACCUGAACCCAAUAAUUUAAAAGAAAAACUAAUGAAAAACGUUUGAAAAUUUUGAGUUUUAACGAUAAGAACAAAAUAAAGGGUAAAAUGAAUAAUACCAGGAUUGACUUUUUAGUGCAAAAAUAUGAUUUUUCGUUAAAGUGAACAGUACCAUGAACUUUUCGUUAAAGUUGCCUAAUUUAACGGCAGCCCGUGGAUGACACUUGCACAAUACCGUAGUGCAAUAAGCAACAUUUUUUACGUAGCAUAUAUCAACAUUUAUGAACAGACAUCAAGACGUAGUAACAUAAAAACAAGGCUCAUACCAAAAUGUCUUCGGAAAUUAUAAUAAUAGACAUCAAAAUGUAUUAACUUAAAAACAAAGAAAUAAUAUUCGCACACGAAUUUUCUCUUUCUGAACACACAUUAUUAUGUUCCUUGAUUGAUUAUCUUUUGACUGUUUCAAUCCAAAUGUAAAAAACAAACCGGGACCGCGUGCGGGAAGAUUAAGGGUGUGCAAGAAUCACUUCCCCAGACUUAUGAUCCAACUAUUCAGAAGUUGGCUUUGUCCUCCGAUUCGGCAGUGCCACACAGAGAGAAAUCCUAAGUAGGAAACGACUUCCAUAUAGGAGUUUUAUGCAUAAACUGGGGCAGCCUUAUACUGGUAACUUGGAUGUAAACCUACUUUGUCAUCUGAUGGCUAAAAACUCUAAUUAGUUUCAGGACAUGGCUCCAUGUUUUCUUCAAUGCUUUCGCAGGGUCUAGGAAACCUGCAUGUUUUAUUCAUUGCUUUCAAGAGUCUGGGGGACCUGCAAGUUCUCUUCAUUGUUCGCAACCAAGUUCUGGAGGGCCUCUGGCUCCUCGCCGGUUCUUGCCUGCAAGCUAAGCAAACGAUUAAUGCAUGAACAACCAGUUUCCAGAAUGCAUGGCCAUAAGGCUGUAUUUUAACAGCCUCACAUAUUUCCUGGCAAUGACAUAAGUCAAAAUUUUCUUUUUGGGAGUGAAAUUCACUUAAAGUGCCACUUUUCCCAGUAUAUUUAAUGAACCUCCUACUGAUUAGGACUAUCAUGGUUCAGAGUUGUUACCAAGAAAAUUUCUAUCAUAUGACGGCCUGCGCCAACCCUCCUCAACCAAAAGUAAGCUACGCUGUAUCAUUAAUUUCUCCACGGCAUCUUCCUCUAGAACAGUUAAUGAAUCGGAUGGUUGCCUCCGUGAUGGUUGACCCUGCAGUAUAAGAUAAUAAUAAUCUAGGGUAAUUCAACCACAAAUACAGUAACAAUUUGUUACUCGCUCAAAAUAUAUAUACAUCAAUUACAUAAAGAGUAAACAUGUUACCACUGCAAGGAAACCGUGCUCUCAUUUUUGUGUGUGGUCAUCGUCACUGCUGCUCUCUUCAACCCACUCCAAGAUGCCAGUGACAUCAAGGGAAGAUGUUAAACAUCAUUCCCCUGUUUUCUCUCUGCAUCAAUGAAGUGGCAUACGUUAGUCCCAUCAUGUUGUCCUGACUGAUAAAAUAUUUGAAUGCAAUAUACAAUAAGUGUGAUGGGUUUCUGAAAUAUAUGUGACAUAUUGACAAAACCCUCGUUAAUUAUUCCCUCACUAACUAGGGGAUAAUUUAGCUAGGAUUAUAUCCAUGUGAAUACGACAACCUGAGUACAAACGAUCUGAUUGUUUUUGCAUCCCAAAAAAACCACAAAUCCUAUGAUUUCAUCCAAAAACAGUCCAUAAUAUUCAUUUAAAGAACUUAAUUAUAAACAAAGGAGAUCCAUAUGAUUUUACAAUGAAGCGAAAUUUGACAAAAUAAUUCAUCAAUUUACACGAGUAAACAUGUUACCAUUGCAGCACCUGAAAGUUAAAGUAUCACAAGACGCCUUACUAGCUCCGCUGUUGUCCAUUUUGCCAGUUGAUUCUUCCAGCUAUUCAAUAUUCCGGCCUUCCAAUCUAUUGAUGGUCUGGUCGACUCAAUUAGUAAAUAAAAGCCUGGCAUUAAUUAUGACACUGCAGAAUGUGGCAGGUCUUGUAUCUCUGGUUUGUUCAUCUUGUUAUAUAUAUACAGGUAGAAAACACUCGAUAGCUGACAAAACAUUCCCUGGAUGAAGUUCACUUAAAGUCCCCUUUUUCCCAGUUUGUAUGAAACUCCAACUGAUUAGGGUUUGUACUGAUAUAUGCAAUAAUGUACAUGAUCAUGCAACUAUGGUUCAGAGUUGUUACCAAGAAAAUUUCUAACAUACGAUGGCCUGCUCCAACCAUCCACCAUCAAAAUUAGGAUAAAGGCGUAUCAUCAAUUUCUCUGCGGCAUCUUCCACCAAAACAGUUCAUGAAUCAGGCAGUCGCCCCUGUAGUGGACGAUCCUGAAGAAUCCAAAUAAAGGUACUUUAAUAGAUUUUCUAUCAAAGUAGCAUGUCAUCAUACAUAUAGAAAUUAGAAAACGUACCUUUUUGUCCAGCUACAACUUUAGAUAUUCAACUGAUUGCUCAUAAAAUCCACAAUGGUAGAGAAGAAUGCUGUAAUCUCUUAAUUCCUUCAGAUCAGGUUCUAGGAGAAUAAGAUGUCCACAAGCUGUGACAAAGUAGCCGUAACAGAUGCAAACUGAAAACCACUGAGAAAAUACAAGGUAUCCUUAUAUAUAUGCACUUAUCUUAGAUUAGUUUAUGUAGAAGCUACAUUCAUUUUGGACGAAAUACCUGCCCUCAUUUAUGUUUUAUCUAUCAGUAAAGUUAGCAGCAUGUGCUGCCCUCAAUAACAAAUUCCCUGGUUGAUCAUGCUGAAAUGACCAGAAUAAGUUACUUUCAAAAUGUGAGGACCUAUAAAUAAUCUUGAAUGUAACAUAGAUCCAUCAAUUAAAUGGCAAAGGAAUACCUAAACUACAAGAAUAAUCAAUUAACAAUAUACCACAGCCGAUAUGAUUCUCUUAAAUGGAACAUCUGGAUGAUGGAUUUGAAAGUGCCAAGGGCUUAAGGCUAAAUUAGUUAAAACUCACUACAAAAGAUUAGAUAGAGGCAUAUGAAAGACUAGAUGCAAUGUAUCGAGAGGGAUUUGUAAAUGACUGCUUAUGUUGUAAUGAUCACCUAGUGCAUUUCAAAUAUCUAUAUCUAAUAUUUUGUAGUUGAUUUCUAACUAGCUUAUCCUAAAUUCCUCAGUUCUUUCAAAUCCCUCAUCCAAACACAGGGUGAGAAAACUAGGAGUUUUAGCAAACACAACUCAUUGACAUAGGGUAAUACAAAUUUAGGGAAGAAAAAAAAAAAGAUGUCGACAUGGUAACGUAAAUCACCUCCACUAAAAUGGCUUGCGAAAUCAUUAUGUGUGCAUUAUCAGAUUCCUUGGUUUUCUGUUUAUUAUAACCUCUGGGAAGACUAUGAAGAAUAUCUCCGCAUCGAAAUCCAAAAAGCCCCAUAAGAGAAGCAUUUUCAAAAUUUCCAAGUAUAUGAGCAAAAGAAUUGCAGGUGAUCUUGAACAAUGUGUCAAAACCUGUUUGCAACGUCUACAUUAAACUCCUGAAAACAAUGCCUGUAUUGUAGUGUUCUCACAGAACAACCUUGAAAUAACAAAUAAGUAAGGCAGACUUUCAUACCAGGCAGACUUUCAUACCGAGCAGAGAUAUAGAGCUCAUGGUUCAGAGUGAUGCCUUGCAUUGGUCCUUCGGAAACCGUGAAAUAAAAUUAGAAAAGAAAUCUUGUGACUUAUUUCUCUUUUCUUAAUUUAUUCAUAUUUGUCCAGCCAAUCAAAGUGGUAACAAGUUAGAACCUUGAUUCUAAGUUCCAAAUGAAGAAUAAAAGUCCUUCAUAAGAAUUAGAAACAAAGAGAAGAAUUCAGAGAGUUUUAAAAUCAAAGUGAGGUGUUGAAAAUCAAAGUGACGUAUUGACAUAUUGACAAAACCUCAUUAGUACAUGCGUUAGUCCCAUCAUGGAUUUCUGUAAAUACACGCUAGAUAUUGACAAAACCCUCAUUAAUUAUUUCCUCACUAACAAGGUGAUAAUUUUGCCAGGAUCAUAUAUCCAUGAAUACGACAACUUGAGUACAAACGAUUUGAUUAUUUUUGCAUCCCAAAUACCACAUAUCCUAUGAUUUCAUCCAAAAACAGUUGAGAAUAUUCAUCUAAAGAACUUAGUUAUGAACAGAGGAGAUCCACAUGAUUUUACAAUGAAGUAAAAUUUGACAAAAUAAUUCAUGAUUUACAUAAGAGUAAACAUCUUACCAGUACCACUGCAGCACUUGAAAGUUAAAGUAUCACAAGCAGAUAAUAGGUGCCUUACUAGCUCCGCUUUUGUCCAUGUGCCGGUUGACUCUUCCAACCAUCCAAUAUUCCGGCUUUCCAAUCCAUUGAUAAUGUGGUCGAAUCAACUAGUAUAUAAAAGUAUGGCAUUAAUAUGAAAAUGCAGAAUGUGGCAGGACUUAUAUCUCUGGUUUUAUUAAUCUUGUUAUAUACAGGUAGAAAACACUGGAUAUCUGGCAAAACAUUUCCAGGAUGAAGUUCACUUAAAGUCCCAUUUUUCCCAGUUUGCAUGAAAUUCCUACUAAGUAGGUUUGUACUGCUAUAAGCAAUAAUGUACAUGAUCACACAACUGAGGUAGAGUUGUUACCAAGAAAAUUUCUUACAUACGACAGCCUGGUCCAACCAUCCUCCAUCAAAAUUAGGUUAAGGCGUAUCAUCAAUUUCUCUGUGGCAUCUUCCACCAAAACAGCUAAUGAAUCAGACAGUCGCCUCCUUAGUGGACGAUCCUGAAGAACCCAAAUAAAGGUACUUUAUUAGAUUUGAUAUCAAAGUCGGAUGUCAUCUUACAUAUAGAAUUAGAAAACUUACCUUUUUGUCCUGCUACAACUUUAGAUAUUCUGAUUGCUAAUAAAGUCCACAAUGGUAGAGAAGAAUGAUGUAAACUCUUAAUUCCUUCGGAUCAGCUUCUAGGAGAAUAAGAUGUUCACAAGCUGUGACAAAGUAGCCUUAGCAGAUGCAAGCUGAACGCCAGUGGAAAAAUACCAAGUAUCCUUAUAUAUAUGCACUUAAGUUGGAUUAGUUUUAAGUAGAAACUACAUUCACUUGGGACAAUGUACCUGUCUUCAUUUAUACUUGAUCUAUCAAUAAAGAGGUCACACUUGGUGCGAUGGCAAGUGCCUUCGCCCAUGAGCGGUAGGUCUCGGGUUCGAGACUUGAGAGCAGCCUCUCCAUAAAUGGGGGUAAGGCUAGCCGACAUUCACCUCUCCCAGACCCUGCGUAAAGCGGGAGCCUUGUGCACUGGGUACGACGACCUUAUCAAUAAAGUUAGCAGCACGUGCUGCCCUCAAGAACAAAUUCCCUGGUUCAUCAUGCUGAAAUGGGCAAGAAUGCACCCUUCAAAUUUUUUUAGAUCUGUACAAUCAGUAAACUCUUGGGAGCAGCCUCUCCAUAAAUGGGGGUAAGGCUAGCCGACAUUCACCUCCCAGACCCUGCGUAAAGCGGGAGCCUUGUGCACUGGGUACGACCUUUUUUUGUACAAUCAGUAAACUAUGAGGCCAGAUGUACCUAAGGUUAAAGCCUUGUACACAUGUCCGAAGAUCAAAUAUGCAUGUAAAUAAAAUUAUAUAAAGACAAUGUCACACACAAACAAAUGUACACAAAUAUAUAUUUAAACUAUACUUUGACUCACUUUGAGCACAAAACCCAUGCUUACAACUGCUCAAUUGAAAUCUACUGGUUGACAUCUACAUCCUAGCGCAUAGAACAUUUCUUUUUUGAAAACUUAUUAGUUGUUGGAUGAAGGCUGGUGAACAAAAGCUUUUCUACUCAUUGGUGAAUUGUAAAUCAUGAUUAGGAGGACCUGUAGAUAUGGUACCAACUCAGGUCCAUAUCCACAAUAUCUGACAACAUAUAUGGUACCAACUUAUAGGCAGGUUCAUAAUAUUCUGACUAAAGAUAAAUUAGAAACAAUGCUGAACGAAAAGGUUGUUCACUCUUCAACUAAAUGACAAAGGAAUACCUAAAUUACAAGAGUAAUCAAUUAACAAUAUACCACAGGCAAUAUGAUACUCUUAAAUGGAACGUCUGGAUGAAGGAUUUGAAAGUGCCAAGCGCGGGCUUAAGGCUUAAUUAGUUAAAAUUCACUACAAAAGAUUAGAUGGAAGGAUAUGAAAGACUAAAUGCAAUGGAUCGAGAGGGAUUUGUAAAUGACUGCUUGAAAGGAGACAUUUAUAAAUGCUUUUUUAUGUGUGUAAUGAUCAUGUAGUGCAUUUCAAAUAUCUAUAUCUAAUGUUUUGAUUUUUAACUAAAUGCAAUGCAUCGAGAGGGAUUUGUAGUUGAUUUUUAACUAAUGUACCUAAAUUUCUGGUUACUUUCAAAUCGCUCAUCCAAACACCGGGUGAGAGAACUAGGAAUUCUAGCAUACACAACUCACUGACAUAGGACAAUGCAAACCAAGGCAAAAAAAACAGAUCUGUCGACAUGAUAACAUUAAGUCACCUCAUCUCCACUAAAACGGCUUGCAAAGUCAUUAUGCGUGCAUUAUCAGAUUCCUUGCUUUUCUGUUUAUGGUAACCUCCGGGAAGACUAUGAAGACCGUGACCAAACAAUAUAUCCGCAUCGAAAAAUCCAAAAAGCACCAUAAGCUAAGCAUUUUUAAAAAUUCUGAAUAUAUGAGCACACGAAUUGCACGUGAUCCUGAACAGUGUGUCAAAACCUGUUUGCAAUGUCUACAUUAAACUCCAGAAAACAAUGCCCGUAUUGUAGGGUUCUGAUAGAACAACCUUGAAAUAACAAACGAGUCAGGCAGACUUCCAUACCGAGUGGAGAUAUAGAGCUCAUGGUUCAGAGUGAAGCCUUGCAUUGGUCCUUCAGAAACCCUGAAAUAAAGCUAAAAAAGGAAUCUUGUGACUUAAUGCUCUUUUCUUAAUUUAUUCAUAUUUGUCCAGCCAAUCAGAGUGGUAACUGGUAACCAGUUAGAACAUUGAUUCUAAGUUCCAAAUGCAGAAUAUCAAAGUCCUUUAUAUGAAUUAGAAACAAAGAGAAGAAUUCAGAGAGUUUUACCUUCACUGCUUUUCUCCAUCAAAUUGGGAAAAUCUUGAAUGUCCAUGUCAACUUGAGCUCAAUUCUUUUUCAUACGUCAUCUAGAAAAGAUAGUCCUGAUUCAAAGAUGCAGAAUUAUGAUUUAUAAAGUGAUCUUAAUUAAUUGUGCAAGUUUGACAAUCUGGACCAUUUCCUUAUGUUCUGAUUCAUGAAUAUAAUCCAUCAAUAAUGAUCAUGAAACAAGAACAGAAAAGGAAACGUAAGUUACACUCCGGUAUUCAACAACUUACGGUGAACUUUGUAAGUGCCGCAUCCAGCCAAAUUCACACGUUGUGUUUGUACAGAAACAUAUCAGCACCUAUUUAAAAAUGACAGAUGCGCUGAAAGAUGAGUAAGCAUUCCAACGUACUCAAACCACAACAUUAGGAGGAAAGAGAAACAUCAAGGAGUUACCUCGUCCCGUGCAGGAGAAUCAUAAUCGUGACCUAGCUAGCCAGAGCACCCAAUAACUUACUUGGUAUUGUAAGAAGUAGUUUAUGUAAGCAAACACUCGUUGCUCUUAGAUGAUAUUGUCCUGAAAUUUAAUUGAUUGAUUAAUUAAACACAGUAUAGCUGACAGUAAACAAUUGAAUGGGGUGUAUUCAAUUGAGAUUUUGAGGGAUUUUAAUUCUUUUAAUGAAUCUAGGGUAUUUAAUAAAGAUUUUAAAUGAUUCUCUGAAAUUCAAGGUGUAUUCAAUUAUAAUUUUAAGAUAGUUUAUUAAAAUCCUUAGAAAUCUAAAUAUAUUCAAUUAAGAUUUUAAAGAAGUUUAUAACAUUCAAGUGUAUUCAAUUAGAAAUUGAUUUUAAAGAAUUUGAGAAAGUUGAGGAAUUGGAGAGAAUUGGAGAGAUUUCGUAGUGUGUUUUAAGCAUCCACAAAUUUCACCUCUCCACAUGAGAUUUCGAGGGAAUUGAAUCAAAAUUUUAUAUGGAAUCUCUACAAAUCAAUUGAAUUCCAUAAAAAUCUAUGGAUUUAUAAAUCCAUUAAAAUCUCUCAAAUUAAUCUCAUGUGGAAUUAAAUCAAAAUUUUAUAUGGAAUCUCUACAAAUCAAUUGAAUUCCAUAAAAAUCUAUAGAUUUAUAAAUCCAUUAAAAUCUCUCAAAUUCUCAAUUGAAUACAACUUCGAAUUUCAAAGUGAAACUUUUAGAAAAUCUGAAUCUUCCACGAAAAAUGGUGCUAUGUACGUACCUGACUUUGAGUUGAGAUCUCAAAUGAUGACUUGGUCGCCUAUCUCGAUGCAAGGAAUGUGAGCUGUCUUGCUCCACUCUUCUCCCGUCUUCUCCUGACACCUAGGGGUGGGUUCAAAAAACCGAAAACCGAAAAAACGAAUCCAACCGACCGAAAACCGAACGAAUGGGUUGAAAAUGGAACAUGAUAGUUAUACCGAAAACAUUAAAAAAUUUUUUUAAUUUUUUUAACUCCGCCUCUGUCUUACAUGGCCGGUUCCAAGCCCGGAUAAAGGAGGAGGGGGAGGGCGUCAGGUAGUCGACAGCCGGCACUCCAUGAUCACGUCGAAUCCUUAUGAAAAUGAAUCCAGAACAAAAAUCGCGCUAAAGCUAGGGCGUCACCCGUAAGUGGCGCGCUGUGUGGCCCGAGCACAGUGAUAAGUGAGCAAGGGUCGCUGUAUCUCCAUCGGCACCCGGAUGCAGUGUUAAAUGAGCAAGGGGGCCAUAGAAACUUCUUUUCGAACGACUCCACUCAAAGUUGUUUGGGAGCAUAUGCUCCUAUCAACUUUACCCGGGACACACAAAAGAAGUACUUUGAUCCUAUUAGACGGGGGAGGGUGAAGAAGCUAGGACAGAAGGGUAGAGUUCAAGAGAGCAAAAUGCGUUUAGGAACGUGGAAUAUAGGAACCUUAACGGGAAAAUCUAUGGAAGUAGUGGAAGUUAUGGUGAGGAGAAGGAUAAAUAUUAUGUGCCUACAAGAAACUAAGUGGGUUGGUAGUAAGGCAAAGGAUCUAGAAAACUCAGGGUUUAAACUUUGGUAUUCGGGCACAAAUAGAACGAGAAACGGUGUUGGCAUCAUCGUGGACAAGACCUUGGUACAAAGAUGUUGUAGAUGUCAAGAGGGUAGGAGAUAGAAUCAUGGCAAUCAAGAUUGUAAUAGGACAAGAACUUAUCAAUGUGAUUAGUGCGUACGCACCUCAAGUAGGGUUGGAUACGAGUUCGAAGGAGAAAUUUUGGGAAGAUCCUUGGAGACUUGGUGCAAGGAAUUGCUCAGACGGAGAAGUUAUUUAUAGGAGGAGAUUUAAAUGGACACGUGGGCAGGGAGACAGGCAACUAUGGAGGUUUUCAUGGUGGCCAUGGUUUUGGGGAGAGAAACGAGGAUGGGGAAGCUAUCUUGGAUUUUGCAAUGGCAUAUGAUCUCUUCUUAGCCAACACCUUCUUUAAGAAGAGAGAAGAACAUGUGAUCACCUACAAGAGUGGGUCGUCAAAAAACACAAAUAGAUUUUCUUCUAAUGAGGAAAGGGGAUCGUAUAACUUGUAAGGAUUGCAAAGUUAUACCAGGAGAGAGCGUGGCUAAUCAACAUCGCUUGUUGGUGAUGGAUGUACAUAUCAAAAGAGUAAGACAAAAGAACAAGACUUGGAAGUGCCCAAGGACUAGAUGGUGGAAUCUAAAAGAAGAAAAACAAGCCAUUUUCAAAGAGAAGGUAAUCACCCAAUGUGUGUGGGAUAGAGAGGGGGAAGCUAGCCAAAUGUGGGAUUCCAUGGCUAGUUGUAUCCGAAAAGUAGCAAAAGAGGUAUUAGGAGAGUCCAAGGGCUUUGCCCCACACCAAAAGGAAUCUUGGUGGUGGAAUGAGGAGGUACAAACAAAGGUGAAGGCUAAGAAGGAAUGUUGUAAAGCCUUAUACAAGGAGAGGACCGAUGAAAAUGGUGAAAGGUAUAGAAAAGCGAAGCAAGAGGCGAAGAAAGCUGUCAGAGAAGCUAAGUUAGCGGCUUACGACGAUAUGUAUAAACGACUAGAUACCAAAGAAGGAGAGAGUUGGAUAUCUAUAAACUAGCUAGAGCAAGGGAAAAGAAGACAAGGGACCUAAACCAAGUGAGGUGCAUCAAGGAUGAGGAUGGAAAGGUUCUUGCUACAGAGAACGCGGUUAAAGACAGAUGGAGAGGUUAUUUUCAUAAUCUUUUCAAUGAAGGACAUGAAAGGAGUGCUUCUUUAGGGGAGUUGAGUAACUCAGAAGAGUGUAGAAACUACUCUUUUUAUCGUCGAAUCCGGAAGGAAGAAGUGGUUGUAGCUUUGAAGAAGAUGAAGCAUAAAAAAGCAAUAGGCCCAGACGAUAUAUACCAAUCGAAGUGUGGAAACUUUUGGGAGAGACAGGUAUAACAUGGCUCACUGACCUUUUCAAUAGGAUUUUGAAAACGAAGAAGAUGCCAAAUGAGUGGCGAACGAGCACUUUGGUGCCUAUCUACAAGAAUAAGGGCGACGUACAAAAUUGCAUGAACUAUAGGGGUAUUAAGCUAAUGAGUCAUACAAUGAAGCUCUGGGAGAGAGUCAUUGAGCAUAGAUUGAGGCAAGAGACACGGGUUUCGGACAACCAAUUCGGGUUCAUGCCAGGGCGCGCUCAACCAUGGAGGCAAUCUAUCUCUUACGAAGAUUGAUGGAAAGAUAUAGAGAUGGGAAAAAAGGAUUUACACAUGGUCUUUAUAGAUUUGGAAAAAGCGUAUGAUAGGGUCCCAAGAGACAUUCUUUGGAGGAUUUUAGAGAAGAAAGGAGUACGAGUAGCAUAUAUCCAAGCUAUAAAGGAUAUGUAUGAAGGAGCAAAGACUGCCGUAAGAACUCAUGAAGGACAAACCGAAAGCUUUCCCAUAACUGUAGGAUUACAUCAAGGCUCAUCCUUAAGUCCUUACCUUUUUGCGUUGGUAAUGGAUGAGUUAACAGGACAUAUUCAAGAUGAUAUUCCUUGGUGUAUGCUUUUCGCAGACGAUAUAGUGUUGAUAGAUGAAACUCAGGAAGGGGUAAAUGCAAAGCUUAACCUUUGGAGAGAAGUGUUGGAAUCUAAAGGUCUUCGCCUAAGCCGAUCAAAGACAGAAUAUAUGGAGUGCAAGUUCAGUGCAAAUGGAGGCCAAAACGAGUUAGGGGUGAGGAUCGGAGAUCAAGAAAUACCAAAGAGCGACCGUUUUCGUUACCUAGGAUCUAUCUUGCAAAAGAACGGAGAAUUAGAUGGAGAUCUCAACCAUAGAAUACAAGCUGGAUGGAUGAAGUGGAAGAGUGCAUCCGGCGUGUUGUGUGACCGCCGUAUGCCACUGAAGCUCAAGGGAAAAUUUUAUAGGACGGCAAUAAGGCCGGCGAUGCUGUAUGGCACAGAAUGUUGGGCGGUGAAACAUCAACACGUACACAAAAUGGGUGUAGCGGAGAUGAGGAUGCUUCGUUGGAUGUGUGGGCACACGAGAAAGGAUAAGAUUAGGAAUGAGGAUAUCCGGGGUAAAGUAGGAGUAGCCGAAAUUGAAGGAAAGAUGAGAGAAAAUCGGUUACGGUGGUUUGGACAUGUGCAAAGAAGGCCUACUGACGCUCCGAUUAGAAGAUGCGACUAUGGGACAGAGGUUCAGGGCCGAAGGGGUAGAGGAAGACCUAGGAAAACUUUGGAAGAGACUCUAAGAAAAGACUUAGAGUACUUGGAUCUAACGAAGGACAUGACACAGGAUCGAGCACAAUGGCGUUCUAAGAUUCAUAUAGCCGAUCCCACUCAGUGACUUGGAUUUUCCAAGUCUCCAACCGAGAAGUUUUCCUCACUCGGGAAAUUAAGGGAACACUACCCCAACCUACAUGCUCCACUCAGAAAGCUUCAACAUACAAGCUUCAACAAAAGAAAAUUCAAAGAACUUAGCGAAGAAGGCUUUGGUGUAUUUAACACAAUACGUUGAAAUGAAGGAAAGCUUAUUUAUUGAUAUCCCCGAUAAGCUACAAAUAUGUACAUAUACAUGAGUCAAAAUAAACACAACAAGAGGGAGCCUUCACAAAGGUUGCUUAGGAGAAGUCUCAGCAGUCGGUAGAGCCCCAGAAAGAGAAGGCACCGGAGGGGGAUCAUUUGGAGCCUCAGUACUGGACAGAACCCUAGAAGGAGGAGGCAUCAGAGGUUGAUCAUUUGGAGCUUCAUUACGCGGUACAGCCCCAGAAGACGAAGGCAAUAAAUGCCUUUGGAACAAACCCACAAAAUCUCUGAUGAUCAAGUAAAACCUGACCAUCAGUUUCCUUCAUCUGGUCAAGCUUCCUCUUCAUGUUUGUAGCAUAGUCAUGUGCGAGCCGGUGCAACUGUUUAUUCUCAUGCUUGAGCCCUCUAAUCUCCUGUUUGAGACUCAUCACUUCAGCCGCCAAUGAUUCAACUUGGCGGGUUCGAGCAAAUAGGCGUUGGGCCAUAUUAGACACAGAACCUGCACACUGAACACUGAGAGCCAGCGAAUCCUUAACAGCUAACUCAUCAGACCGUUUGGAAAGUAGUCUGUUAUCUUUGGGAGUGAGAAGGUUCCUGGCCACCACCGCAGCGGUCAUAUCAUUCUUCAUCACGGAAUCCCCAACGGUAAGAGGACCAGUAGGGGAGACGAAGGAUGGGCGCCAUAUGUUGUCUGGAGAAGGCGGGGCUGCCUCUUCAACAAGGUUCAAGUCAAAACGACGGUCGGAGGGGCCAGACAUUUUCAAAGGUGUUGAAGAGAGAAGAGGUCGGACAAAUCAAGAUCUUAGAAGUGCAAGAAUGAAGCUUCUACUGGUGGAGAUUCAAGUGUGCUUUGGAACUUAAUGCCAGCCCCUAUAAAAAUCUGCACUCGACGGAGCUUCAGAAAUCGAAGAGGCGCCUGCUCAGAAAUCGAAGAGGCGUUUGCUUUUCUCAAAAGCUGGGCUGCUUAGAGAUCACGAGGGUUGAUCUCAGAAAUCGAAGAGGCGUUUGCUUUUCUCAAAAGUUGGGCUGCUCAAAGACCACGAAGGCCGAUCUCAGAAAUCGAAGAGGCGCUCGCUUUCUCAAAAGCUGGGCUCCCAGAGACCACGAGGGCCGAUCUCAGAAAUCGAAGAGGCACCUACUUUUCCAGCCUUGUCAGCACCUGUCACACGCACACUCAGCUUUGCGGAAAUUAUGGGCAUUCUGUCGAAGACUUCUGGGGAAGUAGAAAACACAUGAAUCUUACUGUUCAAUCACCCACUUCCCACACGCAACAAUAGCUCAUGGGUACCACAGAUAACUUUGCCAAAGUUCUCUGCCAAAGUUGAGCACGUGAAGCUUGCAGCUCCCACUACAUCGCUCUGACCAAGAAGGGUAAAAGAAUAGCAAAGAAACAGCACUAACAAAGUUUAGACCCAUAAAUUUUGAAGGUCUAGCUACCAUAUUAUUACCCACAAGGGUAAAGGAACAGUACCACUGCUGGAUAAUUGGAAAGUCCCUGUGUGUCAACCUCUGUGCUUCGUGGCAAGGUAGACUAGCAAACAUGCCCAACCUUUACUCACAUUCGAGAAAACACUCCCAAUAAGAUUGCUUGCUCCAAAAUCGAAGAGGCACCGUCCUCCGAAUCUCGAGAGCCAGACUCCCAACAUGACUACUUUCUUAAAAAAUCGAAGAGAGGGUAAAGGAACAGUACCAUUGCUGGAUAAUUGGAAAGUCCCUGUGUGUCAACCUCUGUGCUUCGUGGCAAGGUAGACUAGCAAACAUGCCCAACCUUUACUCACAUUCGAGAAAAACACUCCCAACAAGAUUGCUUGCUCCAAAAUCGAAGAGGCACCGCCCUCCGAAUCUCGAGAGCCAGACUCCCAACAUGAUUACUUUCUCAAAAAUCGAAGAGACACUGCUCCCCGAAUCUUCGAGAGCCAGACCCCCAGCAUGAUUGCUUUCUCAAAAAUCGAUGAGGCAUCGUUCUCCGAAUCAAUCGAAGAGGCGCUCGCUUUCUCAAAAGCUGGGCUGCUCAGAGACCACGAGGGCCGAUCUCAGAAAUCGAAGAGGCACCUACUUUUCUAGCCUUGUCAGCACCUGUCACACGCACACUCAGCUUUGCAGAAAUUAUGGGCAUUCUGUCGAAGACUUCUGGUGAAGUAGAAAGCACAUGAAUCUUACUGUUCAAUCACCCACUUCCCACACGCAACAAUAGCUCAUGGGUACCACAGAUAACUUUGCCAAAGUUCUCUGCCAAAGUUGAGCACGUGAAGCUUGCAGCUCCCACUACAUCGCUCUGACCAAGAAAGGUAAAAGAAUAGCAAAGAAACAGCACUAACAAAAGUUUAGACACAUAAAUUUUGAAGGUCUAGCUACCAUAUUAUUACCCACAAGGGUAAAGGAACAGUACCACUGCUGGAUAAUUGGAAAGUCCCUGUGUGUCAACCUCUGUGCUUCGUGGCAAGGUAGACUAGCAAACAUGCCCAACCUUUACUCACAUUCGAGAAAACACUCCCAACAAGAUUGCUUGCUCCAAAAUCGAAGAGGCACCGUCCUCCGAAUCUCGAGAGCCAGACUCCCAACAUGACUACUUUCUCAAAAUCGAAGAGAGGGUAAAGGAACAGUACCAUUGCUGGAUAAUUGGAAAGUCCCUGUGUGUCAACCUUUGUGCUUCGUGGCAAGGUAGACUAGCAAACAUGCCCAACCUUUACUCACAUUCGAGACAACACUCCCAACAAGAUUGCUUGCUCCAAAAUCGAAGAGGCACCGCCCUCCGAAUCUCGAGAGCCAGACUCCCAACAUGAUUACUUCCUCAAAAAUCGAAGAGACACUGCUCUCCGAAUCUCGAGAGCCAGACCCCCAGCAUGAUUGCUUUCUCAAAAAUCGAAGAGGCAUCGUUCUCCGAAUCUCGAGAGCCAGAUACCACAGACCACUUUUUCAAAGUGCUCUGACAGAGUUAAAACAUGUGAAACUGGCAGCUCCCACUACCGUGCUAUGACCAAGCAGGGUAAAGGAAUAGCAUUACUACUUGUUGUUAGGGAGACUCCUAUAUAUGUCGACCUCCAUCCCCAACGGACAGGCAGACCUGCAAAAAUGCUCAACCCUUCAUCAUAUCUGAGAGGGCACUCCCAACGAAGCCUUUCGAAAUAUUCAGCUUUCUUUCCCCCCGAUAAUACCUCUGCAAACAAGCUAUACUAGAGCAAGAAUAUCUCAUAUCAUCAGGGUUAAAAGCAAGAGUAUCCCAUAUCAUGCUUUUUCCCUGUCUUUUCCUUUGGCCUUGUUUUUACCUGCAAGACAAGGAGAAAGAGAGCAAUCAGUCAGCACUUGGAAUCAAGCUUCCAGCCAGGAACUGACUGCCUGGAACCCCUUACCUGAUUACUUACCUGGCAUUGCUCUCGAGUACUCAUCUUCAACAUCUUAUGUUUCCAGGGAAGAUUCCGCAUCUGCUUGAGGAACAGAUAGGGCAAGUGCGAAGGAUACAAGGAAGCAUGUGGAGACAAGCGUAACAGCACACGUGCCGAUACAUCCAUUACUCUGUCAAAAGCAAAAGUAUCCCAUAUCAGCAGGGUGGAACGUACUCUAGAUUUGAUGGACUUGUUUUGACCCUCAAAUUCUUCAGUCGGCCUUAUACUCUGGAGGAAACCAGAAAACCCUCCAGCUCAGUUCAAGAAUAAGCCUGUGGAAAGUUACUUCUUCAAAAGCAAAAGUAUCUCAUAUCAUCUCUUCUCAUUUUUCUUCUCUUUAUCCUUCAUGCUGCUGCAAGAUGGGGAGAAGGUGAACAAUCAGUCCGGAGCUCUGAUUGCUUACCUUGUCUGUCACCUCUUUCAGCAGACCCCCUAGCUCGGCGACUUGGGGGACUCCUACUACAUGGUUUGUAUCGCGCUUGACCAAGCCUGAAACUACAAGUAAGCUUCAAGUGAAAUUGAUACAUUACCUUGUGCAUCUCCACCAGUUAAAGAUACCACCCCUGGAUGGAGGAAGAGUACUUCCAGAGAAGAUGCCACAUCUACCUAUGAGACAGAUAAGGCAAGUCAAGACGACACCACACUCCGAUACUUAGAAGUUUCGUGAUUACGAGAUCAUUCUCCCACAAUAUUUCCUAAUGUCAUUUGUACUAAAUCAUUCACUUGUACUCACUAAAGGAGAGCUUGAACCUAUGUACUUGUGUAAACCCUUCACAAUUAAUGAGAACUCUUCUAUUCCGUGGACGUAGCCAAUCUGGGUGAACCACGUACAUCUUGUGUUUGCUUUCCUAUCUCUAUCCAUUUAUAUACUUAUCCACACUAAUGACCGGAGCAAUCUAGCGAAGAUCACAAAAAGCGACCGUUUUCGCUACCUAGGAUCUAUCUUGCAAGAGAACGGAGAAUUAGAUGGAGAUCUCAACCAUAGAAUACGAGCUGGAUGGAUGAAGUGUAAGAGUGCAUCCGGCGUGUUGUGUGACCGUCGUAGGCCACUGAAGCUCAAGGGAAAAUUUUAUAGGACGGCAAUAAGGCCAGCGAUGUUGUAUGGCACAGAAUGUUGGGCGGUGAAGCAUCAACACGUACACAAAAUGGGUGUAGCGGAGAUGAGGAUGCUUCGUGGGAUGUGUGGGCACACGAGAAAGGAUAAGAUUGGGAAUGAGGAUAUCCGAGGUAAAGUAGGAGUAGCCGAAAUUGUAGGAAAGAUGAGAGAAAAUCGGCUCUGGUGAUUUGGACAUGUGCAAAGAAGGCCGACUGACGCUCCGGUUCGAAGAUGUGACUACGGGACAGAGGUUCAAUGCCGAAGGGGUACAGGAAGACCUAGGAAAACUUUGGAAGAGACUCUAAGAAAAGACUUAGAGUACUUGGAUCUAACGGAGGACAUGACACAAAAUCGAGCGCAAUGGCGUUCUAGGAUUCAUAUAGCCGACCCCAUUUAGUGGGAAAAGGUUUUGUUGUUGUAUUUGUUUUGGGUAUUAUUUUCUAAACCCAAUUUGUAAGUUAAAAUAUGCUAAACCCAAUGUGUUGCCAAACUUUAAGCUCAAAAUAUUAAAAAAAUGCCUAUAAAAACUCUAAACCCUAACCUAUUAUUUCUCCCCCAUAUAAGGUUACGGAACCAAACCUCCUCCUGAAGUACCUACAUCCAUCUCCAUAGCACUGUCUACUUCUGCCCCAGCUUUCUUUUCCAAAACUACUCUCAUAUAACAUGUAACAGAAUCCAUAAACAUUUAUUUCGGGUAGAUUACUUGGGUAAUUUGUUAUGGAAAAGAAUCCAACACAUACUAAAUAAAUCCACCCACGCAUUACUUUUACUAAUCAAGUUGUCAACAUGCAGUUACAAGCAAACAACCGUGAUCUUUGAACAACAUCGUAUAAUUUAACUUUUCUAAGUCAUUUGUACAAUUUUUAUGUUGUGAGGUUGUUAGUUUGGACUUUGGAAGACUUGAUUGAUGAUUUUAGUUCAACUUUAAAUGUUUAUUUUCAUUGUCUUUGAUUCUAGUUAGAAUGCUUAUGUUAUGAUUGUGUUGGAUAUGUUAAAAUUUAAAAUUUCAAUGUUUUUCAUUUUUUGAAAAAAAAAAAACAAAAAACCGAAACCGAACCGAAACCGAACCGGAAAAAACCGAACAAAAAAAAAUGAACCAAACCGAACCGAACCGAAAUUUCGGUUUGGUUUCGGUUUUGGCAAAAAACCGAACCGAUUUAAACCGAACCCACCCCUACUGACACCUCUUCACCAGAGGACUGCUGUCGAUGCUCAGAAAAGAGAACGAUGCCUGCAAACCCUCUUUUGGCAGGAAUUCGAGACUAUCACUUUGUUAUAUGUAAAAUGUACUCUUUUUUUUAAUGUGAAAUCUAUUUAUUUAUUUAUAAGGAACUUUAACGAAAAGUUCUUGUUCUCUUUAACGAAAAAUCAUAUUUUUACACCAAAAAGUCAAUCAUGGUAGUAUUCACUUUACCUGUUAUUUUGUCCUUAUAGUUAAAACUCAAAGUUUCCAAGUCAUUUUCAUUAGUUUUCCUUUAUUUAUAAUGUAUACAUAUUUUAUAAUAAAAUGUACCCUUUUUCAAUUUUUUUGAACAUUAUGGGUACAUCUGUUUGACAUUUAUUAUUUCAAAGUUAUAUUGUUACUUGUUUUUAUCUAUUUAUUCAAUUAAAUUUUAUGAGUAUUUUCUUUUUAUUGUAAUCGUUUUUAAUUUAUAUGGGAUUUUAAAUCCUAUAACAUGUUAAGUAGUUAAUAUCAAACAUAUGAAAAUACAUAUUAUUAGCAAUAAUGAGGUAUACAAAGUCAAUGAAUGAAUACCAUUAAGAUUUUUACCAAAAAAUAUUAAUGACUAGAGUCUGGAUCUAAAGUCUCCCUAUAAUUUAUAAAAAAUAUUAAAAAAUAUUUACAGAAAAAAAAAACAAAAAAAAAAAAAAAAAAAAACCCAAAACGUAUUUGCGCAAGUAACUCCAAUUGCUAGGACCCUAAAGUGCAAACCACAAAUCCAACUUUCAAGUAUCAAUCAUGUCAAAUGUCCCACCGAGCUACUCUUGGACAUUCUUUUGCCAACAGAAUCCUCGUCAGAUUUUUUGGUGAGGAUCUUGCAGAUUUAUGAAUCGUGUUCGUUCAUCGUAUAUCGUGUGAUCAAUGUCAUAAACUAUUUAUGUUUAAUUUUAAAUAAAUUUAUUUAAAAUGAUUUAUGACCUUAUAAUAUACGAUGAACGGCUCACAAAAAAGAUUCCACGAGAAUCCGGAUACUUUCUUUUGCACUCCAUAUCCCAAGGAUUUGAUACCAUGCAUGUUUGUUUAGCAAUCAUCGUAUACACCCAACUUUUUCUUUCUUUUUUAGCAACAACUAUAACGAAUGUGAUAUAAAAGCAUGAUGAAUCAUGAAAACGUUUUAUUAGGACAAGUACGAUAUUCAUUAGUACGAAAAUUGUGUAUAUGUCGAAGGAUAGGAUGCAUAUCAAUGGGCCUUAAUAAAAAUCUUGCUGGGAAUUUCAACCCGAUCGAAGGAAAAAGGAACGUCCUGUAUCAAUCAAAUUACAUAGUUGUGCUAUCCUAAAAAGAAGAAGAUAUGAAAUUACAUCUGGAGGUUCCUCAAACCAAAUAUGUUGAUGUUCUAAUGUCAAUCCCAAUUUUGCUAAUCUACGAGCCACUUUAUUUGCCUCCCUGCAAGAAUAAGAAAGUUUCGUGUGGGGAUAGAACACAUAAAAAAGCGGGCACCUUUCACAACGUGCCCCACUGAAGAAGGAUCAUCAGCCUCCUCCUCGCCCGUACUUGCUUGCCAGCUAAGCAAACAAUUAAUGCAUCAACAACCAGUUUCCAGAAUGGAUGGCCAUAAGGCUCUAUUCUAACAGCCUCACAUAUGUCCUUAAAAGUGCCACUUUUCCCAGUUUAUAUUAAACGAAACUCCUACUGAUUAGAAUUUGUACAUGAAGCACUACCUUGGUUCAGAGUUGUUAUCAAGAAAAUUUCUAUCAUAUGCUGCCUGCUCCAACCAUCCUUCACCAGAAGUAAGCUACGCCGUAUCAUCAAUUUCUCCAAAACAUCUUCUUCUAGAACAGUUAAUGAAUCAGAUGGUUGCCUCCGUGAUGGAUGACCCUGCAGUAUCCAGAUAAUAAUAAUCAAUUAUUAUUCAACCACAAAUAAAGUAACAGUUUGUUAGUCACUCAAAAUAGAAAUAGCACGUUAGAUCUCCCCAAUUUACACAGAGUGAACUUGAACUUAGUUAAAACUAGGAAAUAAACCCGCACGUUGUUGCGGGAAUCAACUGUUUCAGGCGUAACUGCAUGAAGAAGACACAUUUCAAGCGUAACUGCAUGAAUAAGACACAAAGUCAGCAAGUAAAGCUCAUAUUCUUAACAGUGUUAUUUUAACAACAAUUUUGAGUCCUACUGCAUUCUAUGUCCAAUAGGAAUUUAAUUGCUUUUCUAUACCAUGGAGUGGUGCCGAAAGAUUAUUUCUUGGAGUUACUGAUGAAAGAUCUGGAAAAUACUCAGUGGUGUUUUUUGCAAUAGGCGUGCAGCAACCAAAAGUAAGGUUAUAUUUCUAUCUAUUUAAAUGGCUGCCAUAUUGUUGUUUUUAUACAUGUCUACGGCGGGAUGGAUGAUGAUUACAACACGUUUAAGUUGAUGUCUUCUCAUAUUCGUGUAGAAGAAUCAUAUUUGCAACAUCGUUUGUCAUUCUUGAAGAAAGAGGAAAAUAUUAGUUUUAAAAAAGGGAAAAUUUAGUGCUCAGAGUUAUAUGUUGAUGGGAACCACUGAUGCAACAGGAACUCUAGAAAAGAAUAAAGUUUGUGUUCUUCUAUAUGUACAAUUUGUGGCAUUUUUUUUAAUCCCUCAUGUUACACAAUUAGUAGGAUGAAAGUGAAUGUUCAAGUACUUGUUUAAGUAGCUAACUUCCGAAGCAGAAAUAUUAAAAGCAAAAAAUAUGCAAAAAGGUUGUUCCCAUAAGAAACUGAAGAAACAGAAACAACAUGCAGUUAACACUUUGUUUGCUCCUGCAGUUAAGAUGGUUAAAUAUAUGUGUUGCAAGCUAGCCACUUGUUUUAGCAUUAAGAAAAAACAUUUCCGAAGCACAAAUGUUAAAAGAAAAAAAUAUGCAAAAGGGUUGUUCCCAUAAGAAACUGAAGAAACAGAAGCAAUAUGUAGUUGACAGUUCGUUUGCUUCCGCAGUUAAGAUGGUUAAAUAUAUGUCUUGCAAGCUAGCCACUUGUUUUAGCACUAACAAAAAACAUUAAAAAGUGUUUCGUUCUUGUUCCAGCACCUAAGUUUUUAAGCACAAAUUUUCAACCAAAAAAACAUGUAGCACAUCCUGUAGCACUCGAUGAUGAAGAUUGUGGGUGUUCACUUUUUUUGAGAUCGGACAUCUUCCACACUAUAGCAAAAAAACAUAAAUAAUAAUUUAGCAGACACUGCCAUCAUUGAUAUUAUGUAGAUGUGGGUGUGAAAAACAAAUUAUAAUUUACCUAUCUUUGGUUUUUUUGGCCUGAGUUUUUGUCUUGAGUGCGGCUAUCGGUACUUUGUCGGCCGGUUCAAUUUUGGGGACAACCAGAUUGUGGAAUUCUCUAGCAAUUCUUGCAGAAUUGGUUGUGUUUGUUUGCUGGGGGCGAGGUUUUUUGCUGUUAAUGAAGGUAAAUUUUAUAAGGUUAAAGAGAAACAUGAUAGCCAUGGAGAAGAGUGCGAAAGAGGUGCAAAAAGUUUUGUAGACAGUUUUUCAUGAUUGGCUAGAUUUACACUGAAGAGAAGCAAGUAUAGUUAUUAAGAUUGACACAUGACAACAUUUAUUGUCAGAAAAACUUUACCUGUCAGGUUUGUCCGUUUGAUCAGGGAACAAUACUCUCUUUGAAGUUAUGGCGGGUGCAACUGAUUUGGGUUGUUGAUCUGGUUGUUGGGAAGGUGUCAAUGGGGCGGGGGUUGCUUGACUGGUAAUUUGUUUGCCUAGACUGGUAGCGGGUGUUUGUGGUAUGACUGAGGCAAUUGUUGGGUUGGAGAGCGGUUGGUCUUCAACCAGUCCAUUAACGAUGAAGUCUGUUUUUGCAAAGUCGGUGUUUUGCUUUCCAAAAGAGAGUUGAAAUGUUUUUGAGUUGCCGACCAAAUUGUUAAGAAUUGGUGGCACCACGAAAGGGUCCUCGUGUCCGUUCUCUAUCACCAAAGUGUAGCAAGAAACGCCAAGCAUCUUUUCGGGUUGCCUUCCUAUCAUGAGGAAGUUGUGUUGGUUCGUGUUAUCUUCGACAAUCAGAUUGAUCUUGAACCUGUGCAAGAGGAGGAUAUUUUGUGUUAGACAAUCAUACAUUCUAAGCGAAAGUUGGUAACCAAAAUGGAGAGGUCCUACAAUAUCCAUUUCGUCACUGAACUUAUUGAAUUCAACAUACCAGUUAACAUUAAACUAAAGAAAGUAUGCUACAAUAUUUAAAAGCGGUCAUAAGACAAUAGCUGAGAAAACAGCCAUUCCUCCUAAGCGGUGUAAAUUUUAUUGACUUAUUACAUCAAAGCAGCAUUCACGUAUCAUCAUUAUGGUUGUUUUGGAAACUCUUAAGUUUCUUCUUUAAAGGUGGGAAAAACACUAUAGGUGUAGACUAUCCUAAACACAUUAUAGCAGGAAUAUUUACGAUAAUGUCACUAAUACACUCCCAAGGGUCAAACAGUAGUCAAAGUAUAAUGGAGAUGGAAACCACUGUAAAGUUAUUUGUAUGCACGCAUUUUAGAUCAUGAAUCAAAGACCAACAUAUGCAUGAGAGUGAAUGCAAAAAUAUAUGUUGGCUGAAGAAAGCUGUGUGCUCGUCACAUGUUCUACCUUCUCGUCGCAUAAAAUAUCAUAGAUAUAAAAGCAUUAUUAUGUGUGAAUUUGAUAAUCAUAAGAAUUCCAAAAAGGACUCAACAACUUAAUAUAACCGUUAGACGUAAAAUAGAUGCAAAAGAUUAUUACCAUGGUUCGGGUAAUUUGUUUAUCAAACCAUGUUCGUUGCACUGAAAUGAUCCAAACAUCUUCUUUACAACUUUAUGGCAGGAUGGGCAAGAGUUGUACCACCAACCUCUGGCCAAAUCGAAGUCAACAACAGUCGCUUUGCAUGUGAAACUUGCAUUCUGUUAUUGAAACAUAGGUUUUAAAAUGAUCAUCGACAUUUAAUCAUCACCUUGGAAACAUGGUGUAUAAACGAAUACACACUCUGUCAUACUUUUAAUAUCUUGGUUAUUGGAAGUUAUCAACAACAUAUUUGUGGACUGCUUGUUCACUUUGAUUGUUUCUCCUAUUCAUGUUAGUUAUUAUUCUAAAGCCUAUGUUUACAUAAAUAUUAAGCGUGAUAACCAUAAAGAAAAGGUAUCUGAUAGCUUAAUGAACUUUACAUGUUGCAUUUGACUUUUCUUUUGAGAUGUCUUAGGGGUAUCAUAUAUUCAUUAAUCAUUUAAGCAUCGCUUUGGAAACAUGGAGUAAAAACGAAUAGGCACUCUGUCAUACUUUUAAUAUCCUGGGUAUUGCACGUUGGCAACAGCAUAUUGGUGGACUGCUUGUUCAGUUUGAUUGUACUUCUCAUUCAUGUUAGUUAUUAUUCUAAAGCCUAUGCUUACAUAAAUAUUAAGCAUAAUAACCAUAAAGAAAAGGCAUCUAAUAGCUUAAUGAAUUUUACAUCUUAUAUUUGACUUUCCUUUUGAGAUAUCUUAGGGAUAUCAUAUCUUCAUUGAUCUUGAUAUUAAAUAAUUGAUUUCAUUCCGGGGCAUUAUAAUUGUUGGUGCGUUUUUUUUUGUAACAGUUUGAAUUUUUUGUAACAGGUUGGUAAUGAGAGACUAACCUUGUGCAACGUAGGAUCAAGUAAAAGCAACUCGUCUAUCGUUUUUGGUUCAGAAUCAGCACCAAUAACAUGCCUUGUAUACAUGUCAGUUGAGCUGGGCAAGAUCCGCAUAGGUGAUUUUAGAUGCUCAAACCUAUUUUUUGCAUGGUUUGGGUGAGAAAGAUUAAACUAAAAAAUAUAAAUGCAAAAGUUCUUAAAGAAGGGUUGUUUAUUUACCUGCGCUUGUAUUCAGAGAGUUGUGGAAUGUCCGGAUUGAAAACAUAAACGGUUGAUCCUGUGCUUCCAAGAACAGGCUUUCCUAUAGAUAAAAAGAGAAUAAUGAACAAAUUGAAACUUUAAGCAGCAGUUUAAUAAAGCAUGUCGGGGUAUGACCUUGGUAUUGUUUAACUUUGAGGCCUAUCAAAGCAACAAACACGGGUGGCAAUAACGAUUGUAUUCCAUUGUCCUCAAAAUUUGUCGCAGUCUCUCCCCAUAAGGUGAUCCUUACUGUUUCACCCCUGUAAAUAAUUAAGAAGGUGUCAGUCAGUUAUACGUUACGUCUACGGUGUCAUAUGUGAAAAUUGUAAUCAAAGUUUAACGCAUAUAGAAAUUACCUGAUAUUUUGGAGAUUAAGAUUUCUCUUCUUUGCAAUUCUUGUGCGUUGGAUGGUUACCUCUUCAAUCGGCUGCACAGCAGCUGUCAAGCAACCAAAUAUAUCUAUAGACGAUGUUCAUUAGCGAGAAUGAGUGUGCACCAAAGCCAACAAAAAAAUUAAAAUGAUUCUCAUAUUUUGGAGUGGCGCUGAAGAGUAAAUUUGUUACCUGUAAGUUCAACAUCCCUAUCGAUUUUUUCGUAAAGCUGCUCAAGCUCAAUUUAAUUGAACCAUUGCAUCGGGAUUUCCUGGCUUGUUUUGUCAAUAGGAACGAUUGUGGUUUUGCUAUUCAAUUCAAUUAUGGCAGCAUGAGGGACAACCUUGCUUGAUGUCCUGUUGUGAACAACACGAAAUUUGUUGAUUUCGUAUGCUUCGCCAACCCUUAGAUGGUUAAAAAAAUAUUGCAUGUCUCGACUGUUCAUGGUUGCAUGAACCGCAUCCCCCUUUCAGAAGAAGAAAAAUAAAAUCAGACAGUAUACUAAAUGAGCAGGAGAACAUUUAACGCAAAAGGUUAUGGAACCACGUAAGAAGUAAGCGUAGCAUAGUGGUACCUACAGAGAUAACAUGUAAGAUCAUAUGGAAGAUAAUAGAGAAGAUUACUUUAAGAAUGAAAUUCGCAGCAAUUGAAGCAACUUUGUAAAUAUAUAUUUAGUUUCAUUUGUACAGGUAGGAAAAAAGAAGAAAAUAAAUUAAGGAAAAGAAUAGUUGGUAGUUGAUACUCAGCUUCGUUUGUUCAGUUAAAAAAUCUUCCUCAAAAAUAACAAAAUAUAAUCUCUCUAGUGAAAUAUAAAGAGAGCCGAAUUGUGUAUGGUGCACCAUGAAUAUUUUUGUUAAUAAUGCAAUUUAUUUUAAGCCAUGCUAUUAUACGGAAAAAAAUGGAAUUUUGAUUUGUUGUCCACCUGCAUUAACUGGUUAAAUGCAGCCUCUAAAUGAAUGUCGAGGGCUAACAUUGAAUCUAGCAAAACAAUUCGCCAAAUAUUAAUUAUGCAGAAAUGAUGUAUAAUUGUGUAGAGGAUUUGGUUCACGAACUUUAAGAUAAGUUUGAUCACAAAAGUGUGUUGUAAUAAUUGUGUGCACAUUUUGAUACACGAAAAUAGUAGUGUUUGACGACAGGUUAAAAGGUGUAAGAAUCUUACUUGUUUAUCAACAAAUACACAAUCAAGACUUGUAGGUUGAGGAUCAUUUCCGAUGCUCUUCGUGACCCAUAUCCUACAAACCCUGAUCUGGAGUUUGUUUCCUGGUUGGUACGGCGUCAGAAAACUAAUUGGCAUCGCAUCCAUUAAUCUAGCAAAAGAUGAAAAAUUUAGAAGCAAAUUAAAUUCAACAUUGAAUAGGGUGAUUUAUGAAAGAAAUGGUGGAGCCAUGUUUACAAACAAAAAAAAUAACAAAGGGACAAAAUGUGAACAUAAACGUAUACCUGUAUGUAAAUGUUUCAAUACAUCUUUAUAAACAAUGUUUUUUGUAUAACCGUAAGGCAUGUCACUAUUGUGAGCAAUAACAAUUUUGAGACCCUUUUUUGAGGUGACCCUGGAUAGCGUAACAUAGAGUUGUCCAUGAGAAAAAACAGUCUGCGAUAGAAACAAACCAACCAUUUUCAAGGAUUGUCCUUGACUUUUGUUGAUUGUCAUUGCAUAACAAAUUUUUAGAGGGUAUUGUCGUAUUCGCACAGUAAAAGGAUAUUUAUGCUGAGAUGAUUCAGUAAUGAUCCUGGGGAUAUAAACUCUUUCGCCAAUGUUUCUUCCCGUCAUGAUUUUUGCUUGUACAACUUUGUCGUUCAAUUGUGUUACAACCAAUCGUGUUCCAUUACACAGCCCUUGACUUUGAUUUAAAUUUCUGAUCAACAUCACUGGGGCACCAACUUUCAAAGACAACUUGUGGUGCGGCAAACCAGGUAAAUCAAGUUGGUUUAGAAAUUCUAUUGGAUAAAGCAUAUCUAAAUUUUCAGAAUUUUCUGUUGCAGAAGACACCGAAUCAAAACUGAGAUAAGUACGACUUUCGCCAGGUACUAUACCCAACACAAAAUCGUUGAUUUCAGUUGCUGUAUCAUUUCGUGGCGUCACAAUAGCUCUUUCUUUCAGAUAUGAGACAUCUCGAAAAUUUGCUUUGAAAUUUGUAUACACAGCUGAAACCAUGGCUUUGAUGGGAUCGUCAUCAAAAUGGAUAAGGAAUUGGUUUGGAAAUUCGACCCAAGAGCUUUCUUCAUCAGCUGAAGAUAUAGAUCUGGCAACAGUACCAUUUCCAAUAUCUAGUAUCCACUUUGCAAAAUCAGCGAGUUCUUUUUUUUUCACUUCGUUCAGACCUGUUUUCGAAAGCCUCAUGUUUUGCUUAAGGAAAAAUAUAGUUAAAUAGGACCAAAGGUAUGAACUCGUAAAUGAAGCUUGGACGAUGUCAGCAACACUUCCGCUUGGAACAACAGGAAGAAUUUGCCUGAAAUCACCUCCGAAAAGAAUUGGUUUACCUCUAAAUGGCAAAUGGUCAAAGCCUGGUUUUGACCCUUUAAGAACAUCACGAAGAGAUCUAUCUAGAGUUUCAAAACACCGUUUAUGAUUCAUGGGGGCUUCAUCCCAAACAAUAAGAGUAGCGUCAGUGAUUAGUUUUGCAAGAUGAGUCCCUUUUUUAAUUUCACAAACCGAACAAUUAGUGAUGUUGAUAGGAAUUUUAAAUCUAAAGUGAGCCGUCCUUCCACCAGGAAGCAAGAGGGAGGCAAUUCCAGAUGAAGCCACAGCUAAAACAAUUUGAUUUUGGGAUCUAAUUCUAGUUAUGAUGGUGGUCCACAAAAAAGUCUUGCCUGUUCCACCAUGACCAUGCACAAAAAAUAGGCCAGAUCUAUUGUUGUCAAUCGUCUCCAUGACGCUGUCAUAAACUAAUUUUUGCUCCUUGUUUAAUUGGCCGAUCAGGAGUGAGUGCUCUUGUUUUAGUGAGUUAGCAUCAUAAUUUAACUCUUCUCUCAAACUCCUAGCUUUAAGUCUAUCCAUCAUUAGAUUAUUUGGUUGUGGUAGGUGAUGCUUUGAUAGAGAACUAUUUGAAGCUGUAAACAACUUUUCUAACUCGUACAAAAGCGAAUUUCUAAGUUCAUCCUGAUAUUUAGAAAGAUCUUGUAGCCCAAAAGCGUUAUGCAUGUUCUUGGAAAUGUCAUCGCACAUGGUUUUCCAAUGUGCUUCAAACAAAGCUGAUGGAUCAGUGACAUCACAAAAGAGCACCAACGUGACAAACAAUUGCCUCAAUUGGAAAGAUGAUGCAGUGAUAACUGCUUUUAACAUAGCGCUAUUCCAUUCCCUAUCAUCUCCCAAUAAACCAAGGGACAUGCAUGCAGCUUGGAAUGUGGGUUCAAGAACCUCUUUGACGGUUUUUAAAUGGUCAAAACUAAAGAUGCCUUUCUGGUAGUUUAGCAGCAACCUCAAAUAGUAUAAUUCACCAGCAGCAGGGUGAACAUACGCAACCCUACCUAAAGAUCUGCCUUGUUUUCUACGGCUCCAUUGUUUCUCAUCAUUUUUCCAAACAUACUUCGUCGGAAAUUCAACAUAAGAUAACUUACGUGCAUCAGGAUCUUGGACAUUGGUUUCAAACCAUUGCGUUAACAUUGUUCUUUCGAGAUUAGGGUGGUUGAUAACAUAGUUUAGAUCAUCGGUCUCUCUAAAAACAACGUUUUGGUCAGAUGGAAGGUGUACAGACAAUCUUUCAACCGAUGGUUCCCUAAAAUGAAUGUGAAACAGUAACAAUCUCCAAACAGCUUCGUAAGGGCAUAAAUAUCUACAAUUUAGAUAAGCCACAACCUCAUCAAACUUUUCAUCCUCAAAAACAGCUCUAGCCCGAUCAACACCUUUAGUUAUGUACUUAAAAAGAUACUUGAUGAGUGUUGAUUGGCAGCAUGAUUCAACAUUUAUAUGCGCUUGAUAAUUCAAUAAUAGCUCACGAUUAUAAGGGACAACAAAUGCGUUAUCAAGCUUGAUUCCUUUUUUUAGAACAAACAAAUUUUCUAUAUCCCGACGCUUAUAUGCAACGAAACCAUCAUCAGAAAAAGUGGUUUCACUUGUGAAAGGUUUUGGAAAUUUUUUUGAACAUUUGUUUUCUUUCAUGCAUGGUGAAAAUCGAUUUGCAAGACCACAUGGCCCAUGAAUCAUGUAUUGUGAAACUGCAUCGUACCCAACUUUGUCAACAUCUGCAUCAGGAAUCUCAACCGAAAUGAUAGAAUCAACAUCGUAGGGAGAAUGACAUUUAUAAUGUUUGUUCACCCAGACCAAGAUAUGACAAUGAGGAAGACCCCGUUUUUGGAACUCCACCGUGUAAAUCACUGUUUUUAAAUAGAGAAUGCAAAGACAUCAAAACAAAACACUCUAGAUAUGUAAUGAUUAGAUAGAUAAACAAAGAAAGGGAAAAUUUUGGCCAAGAGCGAUUAACUAACCUGAUUCGACAUCGCCAAAAGAUUUCCCUGAUUUGAUGAAUUUAAUCAUAUGGUUAAGCUUUGCUUUAAAAAUUCGGGAGACUAUAUCAGGCCUGUCUUCAGGCCUACAACCAGGUUUAUCACGUAGAUCUUCAAUAAUUUCAGGCCAUUUAGCAUUGCAGGUGAAAGUGAUAAAUAAAUCAGGAUUUCCAAAGUGACGGCAUAUGGCCAUCGCAUCCUGAUAAUUAUUUAUCAUAUAUCUAACGCUGCCAGUAAACAAAGUUGGCAAAAUGACUCUCUUGCCAACACCAGAACUGCUUGUAUUUCCUUCUUUGAGAGCUUCAUGAAUUGCUUUAAGAUUUUAUGUUCUAAAAGAAUCUUGAUUUGUCCUAAUAAAAUCUAACCUAUCUUCUUCAAGCGUGGCAUAUGCAUCAACUAAAUAUUGUUGAAACAAUCUACCACCUUUCAAUAGGGUGUCAUUUUGUCCUGGUCUAUCCUGAAUUUGAUAACCUAGAAACGCUCUCAGUGAUACUCCCCCAGUUUUUGGUUUUUUCCCUUUAUAAUCUGGAUUCCAAGGAAGGCCUUUCUUAUUCCCAUCUUCACCGUAGGGGAAAAGAAGAGGAUAUUGUAGUGCCAUGUACUUAGGAUGUAACUUUGUGAUUCUUUGUAGGCCAUGCGUCCUAUGCUCCACAAUGAUAUCUCUUUCAGUGUGGAAUUCGCCGAUAUCCCCAACAAUCAUCUCGUCACACGCCGGCAAAUUAUAUUGUGCAUCAUGGUUAGCCUGUGCACCGUAUAAACGCAUACGUAAAUGACUUGUGGACCCUUCAUCAAUCAUAUCUCUAGCGAGCCUAAAAAGCUUAACGACCUCAUUACAGUCGUCUAGCAUUUUAAUGAGGCUAUCAACAACAUGAUGGUCGAGUUUUUCAACCGUUUCUGAUCCACUAAAACAACCAAUACGAUUACUGACUUCAUUUUGAGUAUCAUGAAUGUAUAGUUGUGCAAAUUUAGGAUUUUCGCCCUCCAGAGGCAAUAAAGAACCCAUCAAAUGAUGCACUUGACUAUUAAUUUUAAAAACAUAAGGACCCCGACCCUUGUUGAUUGAUGCAUCGACUUUGGCUCCCAUUGAUGUUAAUACCAUCAUUGAAUUAUACGAUCUAAUAUUUGUUUUAAAUUGCAAGCUGUUUCGAGAAUUUUUGGGAUUCAACAAAUCAUCCAAAUAUGGAGGGGUGGGUUUAACGCGUGGGAAUUUUACUUUUUGACUCAUGCAACACGUGGUGAACUGCAAGGUAUAAGAUGAAGCAUUCUUGGCGGACUGUUCUGUAGACCAAAACAGAGCACCGCAAUAUUGACAUUGACAAUUUCUUAAGCCAAAAUCAACAUAUUCUGGAUCAAUCCCUAUAAAAACAAAGAUUAACAGAAGCAUUCAUCAAAUCGACAACCUUAAGUUAACUGAUGGAGGAAACUUAACUUUUGAAAUUAGUAAGAAUGAGAAUAGAGUUAUGUUGAAAGAUUGCGUACUUUUUCUUUUUUUUUGAUAGUUGGCUUGUCCGGUUAUCAGCGGGUUCAAGCCAGAAUGAUUGGUUUGAGCAUGAAUGGCUAACAAACUGUGCUCAUUGGCACGAUCAGCAAGGAAAACCGGUACAGAAAUCUGAUGAGAACUUGUCCCAGGUUCGAAAUGUGGGUUAAAAACACCACGCAUGGGAAUAUUUUGUUUUAAAGCUGAUGCAAAUGUUUGGGGAGGGCUGUCUUGGUUGUUCAAAGAUGUUGAAACAUCAUUAUCUUGAUCGUCGUAAGCGGUGGGAACAUCUUGCAACUCUGAAUUAUUGAGAUCACCAUCCGCAACAACCGCAUCCAAAUAGGCACGUUGAAUUUCAACGGCCCUUCUAGGUCGCCUUAUUCGUUUAGACAUAAAACUAUACAAAGGGGAAAAAAACAGAAACAGUAGCGCACUCUUUAAUAAAAGCAACACAUCAACGAAAGAACCAUCUAGACCAAAUGAAAUUAGCAGCGAGCUAUAACCCAUUAAAGCAAGAGGUGAUUGAAAACACAAAACACAUUCUAAACAUAACAGUAAAAACACAAUCAUAAUGAGAUUAGAUUAGAACAAAGAAUAGAGAAACUUAAUAUGCGGCUGUCUUCUUGAACAGCAUUGUUUCCCGUUGAAACGGUAAAAGGUAUGAAUAAAGCAUGCAACGAUUGCUAAAAAAAUAGCGAUAAAGAAGACCAACAUAAAGAUCAAACAACAAAGCAACCAUAAGGUCUCAAAAGAGCAAACAGAAAUGAAGAAGGUGAUGUUCCUUAAAGGUGCAGAAAUCUAACCGAUAUAGAGACGGGAUUGUAGCUGGGCACAAAUCCUACUGAGCAGUAAUGCAAGUUUGCAACGAUUAAAACAAAAGUUGUAGAACCUACAAAAAGGAAGAGAAAAUAUAAACGCAUAUAUAAUUGGAACGACGUAUGUUUUAAUACUUUAAAGAAAUUACAUGCAUCAAAAGCCUUUAGGUUAGCAAAAGUUUUUAGGUUAGCAAAAAAAAAAUGAAUUGCCUGAAAUAGAGACGAUCAGGAUUUAAAACGUUUAAAUUUUGUCCUAGGUUGACUAAUUAGAUGCAAAAGUGAGACAGCAUGAACAAUUUAACACCGAGAAAGACCAACAAUACUAAAGCACAAUCGAGCUAAUAAUAAAAAAAGCAUAUAAUGCAAAAGAAUAACAACAGGGCAAAACACUUUUGGUUGAUCUUACAACAGGCUAACGGGAUAAGAUAAAUCACCAGAUAUUGCAACCAUGACAAAGUCCGGAAGGCAAGAUAAUGGACUUUUGCUCUAGUUAAAAAAAUAUAUUAGCAUGUGUUACAAGCAAUGUAAUGUUGUGAUGUAGUUUCAUUCUUUUUCACAAAGCUCUCAAUUUGGACUCUCUUAUGAAAUGUUGAGUUUGAUACAAAUUAUUAAUGAUAGAAAUACUCUAGCAUGUUUUGAGUUUAAGCGCAUCACUUAACGAUGCCAGCUCAUCUAUAGAUUGACUAAUUGUAAUUAGCUUCAUGACGCAGUUUUUAUAUACUUACACGAAUAAAAACUGACAAAGCAUGUAAAAUCAAAUUGAUAGUAAAAGAAUUAGGUAAAUCCAUUCAACAACUACUAAUCAAAUUGUAAAAGUGAGAUAUGCGUUUUUCUAGGUUUAAUAAAAGCACCAAAGUAAAAGGUUUUUAUAUGCGUUAUGAGAAAAAUUCAUUACGGCACCAAAAAUCGUUGAUCAAAGCAAAGGCAAAAAAAGCAAGAGCCACACAAUUGAUGCUCUUCAUCAUCGUGGGGUAAAACUCUAGCUAAAGAACAUGCCGCACCUACUUGGGGGAUAGGCAAGGCAGGAGAAGAUACCACUCCAGCAUACGAACAAAUACCGCUAGAGAAGAUACCAUAUCUGUUUGGGGGAAAAGUGGAGAAGCCACCAUUUUUGCCUGGGAGGCAAAUAAAGCAAGUGAAAAUGAUACAUCAGCCGUGGUGAUUUUGAACAAUAUGCUCCAGGAUCAAAUGAUUCAGGUGUUGAAUCCUCGUAAAUGUUGAUAUGAGAUCCAUAGGCAUUUGAAUAGAACACUAAUGGGGCGGGUCGUGUGGAAUUAUGAUGUGUUUGUAGUACUAUUUACAAAUACAAUGACACUUAUAGACGCUCCUCCGGUUAUUUUUGAGUUCGUGUUGGUUUGUGUCCGUAGUGUGUAACGUAUGCAUUUAUAGUUUAAUCCAUAUAUUUUCACAUGCUGCUAUAUGCUCUGUUUUUAAUAAAAAAAUAAAUUUUAAAGAUGGAGACAUGCAACGCGAAACCUACAAUUAGAUCUGGAUCACAAAAUGGCAAAAAAAAAAAAGGGAGUUUUUAAUGAAAAGAGCUUGGUACUAUUCAUUCUUAACCAUAAGGACAUUUUAUGUAUGAAAAGUCUAUAAUAGAUCAAACUCUUCUCUUUAUUUACUCUUAUGCCAUUACAUGCGGACCACAACGAUGUUGACAUUUCUGUCUGGAAAUACAUUAUGAUGCUAUUCAUCUUAUGCUAAUUUACAGCUAGUUCUUCAGGCUUCCAUCAUGUUGUCGAUGUUAUGCAGCUCUUCUUCUGACAAAUUAUUCCAAUACUGUUCAUCGCAUUCUACUAGCUCUGCAUCUCUUUCUCUAUCUUCUUUCACCUUGUAAUAUAUUUUCCGCUGUUUCUUCUUUGAAAUUUUGGGCUUCCAAUAAGCUGAUGACUGAUUCUUGUCUUGCUGUAAAUAUACAUCUCUUCUUCUUCUGCUACUAGUACCAUAUCAUACCUAAAAUCUUCAAACUCAUCUAAAGCAAACAUUUGGAUCCCUCUAAAUUUUUAAAAUAUCUUUGUAUGAAGGAGUCCACCUAUGUGAGGAGAUAGGGUUUAGUCUAAAGGACUCUUCAUUGAUCAUGGCUAUAUGCCUAGCUUUCUCCUUAUGCAUGUGUACAUACCAAUCUGGAGGACUACUAAUAAAACUUAUGCAAAUUUCUUUCCACCUUUCUAAAUAGUCUCUGCUACUUUAAUAAGCUUUUCAGGAAAUGAUUCUAGUUUGAGAAAUACGGUUAAUAAAUAUUUUAUCGAGAUAACCAAACUCUAAUAGUAAGGCAGGGGUGACUUCUACCUCAUUAUGCUUUUUCUGAUGCUCAUAACUAAAAUGCCAUGAUUUAAAAUCUCUCAUGUCAAUCCUGGCCACAGCUACGCUAACUUCUGGUUUACAAAUACAAUUUCUCUGUACUAUCACAAAGACAUGGAGGAUACAUCUUUGUAAUAAUAUCCAUCCCUGGUUUUGGAUCAAAGAUGGACUGAUACAAGGCGCAUUGUUAAUGUAAUUGUAACUCUUUCAUGGACUGUGAUGCUCUGCUCAGGAUCUCAUUUUUGCAUAUCUGUUGGCAUUAUUCUUAGUUUUGCUUUUGAAAUUUCUUCUAAUAAAACAUCGUCUAAUAUUAAGUCUGAAGAUAUAUUUCUAAGAAAACUUUCAUAUUUUCUUGUUUUUCUUUGUCACUCAGAACCUGAUGCCUGAUCAUUACUUUAUGUUGCUCCAUUUCAACGUCUUCUUCUAAGAGCUCAAUCUUAAUUUCUUCUAUGGGUUCAUUAGCCUCUUGUUCUAUGAGUUCAAUAACCUCUUUCCUUUAUGCUGAUCAAUUUCUAAACCUAUUUUUAAUUCUCUUUUCAAGGUGUCACUUGCUUUUGCUGCAUUCUAAGAGAUUUGGAGUUCUUGGUUCAUUUUGGUAAACUUACCAGUAAUGACUCAUGGUCCCUAGAAAUGGCUUGAAGAUUGUGCUCAAGAGAAUAAAUAUGCUGCUGGUUUUGGUGGAAAUUAAAAUUAAAGCUAUCAAACUCUUGUUCCAAGGCUCUAAUUAAAUUUUUCAUGGCCUAAACCUCAUACUUGGCUGCUUAAUUUGGAUAUUUCCAGAAAUUAUCUAAGAGAACCUGCUGCCUAUCAGAAAGCCCCGGUACCCUUGACCUGUAUCUCAGAGUUGGAUUUUCUGAUUCCUUCAACAAUAUUGCCAUUAAAGUUGAACGUGGGUACUGUGGUGAUGCUGGUCUGCUCAUGCUAUUUUGAAAUCUACUGAAUGGUGGAGGUUGAUGGUGCAUCAUCAUGCCAUUGAAAGAAACUCUUCUGCUUGCGGCCUUGUGCUAUUUGCUGAUGAUGGUCCACGAUAUUCCAUACCUGUUCAACAAAUUAAUCUUGAUAAGAUAUCAGCUAAUGUAUUGUCAUUACCUUUUAUAUGUUCAAAAGAUUGGUUUAAAACCAUUCCUGUAAUUGAAUCAACAAAAUUAACCCAUCUUCGAGCUGCUGUUUAUUAGCAUGUAUCUUGUUAUAUGAGAAACUAUAUUUUGACAAUCUGUUCUAAUCGUAAAUACUCAUUAUGUAAAAAUAAAGAAAAUGUUUCAAGUGAAUUAAUUAUCCCUAAAAUUUUCUAAAUCUGUUGAUGGUAAUCUUGAUGUACAUCACUAAACUUUCCUGAGGAUAUCUACAAACUUGUUCGUCAGACUUUGGAGACUCCCUAUGCUUUUUCUGGUAUAUAUACCUGCCCAUCCUAAUGAUGAAGCAUCUGUUUCGACUAUCUUAUAACUAUCAUCUUAAUGUAAUGUUAAUGGCUUAAGUUUAGUAAUUUCUUAUUUAUUUUCUGAACUAAUUUAAUAUCUUCACUAUUAAAAUAUUUUUGUCCCGUUUUGCUAGUUUUACUAUGUAAUACUGCUAUUUUUCUUCCUAAAUCAGGGAUAAAAUUUCUUUGCAUAAUUUAGCAAUCCUAAAAAUGCUUGUAACUGUUUCUUAUCUUCUAAUUUGUUUGGAAAUUUCUAAUACCUUUUUAGCUAUAUGAUAUUGUAAUUGUAUCGUACCUGACUUGAUAUACAUUCCUAAAAAUUCUAUAUCUUGCUUUUCUAAUGCUAUUUUAUUUUUGCUAAUCACAAUCCCAUUAUUAAUAAAUUCUUGUAAAACUAUCUCUAAAUGCUUCCUAUGUUCAUUUCGAUUUUUUACUAUGUAUUAAAAUAUCAUCUACAUAAACACUACAAAAAUUAUCAUAUUUCUUGAAAAUUUUGAUCCAUCUUUCUUUGAAAGAUCGAUGGAGCAUUUUUAAGUCCAAAUGACAUAACAAGCCACUCAAAAUGUCCUUCUGGACAAGUAAAAGCUGUCCACCCAAUUGAUUCUUCUGCUAAUCGUAUUUGCCAAAAUCCUGAUUUACAAUCAAAUUUACUAAAAUUUUACUUUGUUGAAUUUUAUUUAUAAGUUUCAUCUUUAUUUGGUAACUUAUAACUAUCUUCAUAUGUAUUAUCAUUUAAUCUCUUAUAAUUAUAAACUAUUCUAGCCUUUUCUCUUUUUAGCUCUGAAUGUUUUCUUACUACAAAUGCUGCUGAUCUGUGUCUGGACUUAGAGGGUCUAAUUACUUUUAAAUUUAACAACUCUUUUAUUUGCUGCUCAAACUCUUGUAUCUAUUAGACUACAAGGCAUAUCAGCCGUCUUAAUGGUUAAAUCUGGGUUAAUUAUAUCUAAUUUUGCUAGUAUUUUAUUUUUACUCCAAGUAACUGUGGUCUUCUCCUAUAAUCCUAGUUUGUUCUGCUAAUUGUAACAAUUCUUCUAAACUCUUUGGUUUGUUUAACUGUAAGAUUUCUAUACGGGUUCCUUCAUCUAUAAUUGGAUAUUCGUGUUCAAAUAUUUCUUCAUCAAACUCAAACUCUUUUAGAUUAUUAUGCUCAUCAUUUUCUUUUGAAUUUUCCAAAUAAUAAUUGUCUUGACUACUAGAUUCUUCUAUACUUAUACUUUUGUAUGCUUCUAUGGUAUUACUUUGGUCAGUUAUUGUAAUUCCUCUUUUGAAAAAUGUUAUGCUAGGGUUCAUAAAUAAAAAACCUUGUAAACUUUUCAAAAAGUUUAAACCUGGAAUGAAUGGGUAUGAUCCUACUGGUGAGACAAUGUUAAUGGUAGGUUAAAUUGUUGAUUUUCCACUUUAAUGGACUCAUUAUUAAUGCAAUGUGUUAAAUAGACUGGUCUUUCAUCAAACUGCGUUAUUUUCACUGGUUUUGCUAAUUUUUGUCUAUACUUUUCUGGUACUAACUCCUCUCUUAUGACACUCUUAGUACUUCCUGUAUCUAUCAUAGCUGUUGUUUGUAUCUUAUGUUCUUUUGCCAAUUCUAUUUCACAAUUUAUGGUAAUUAAAGAACUAUUUUUUAGCUUUUCUAUACUAUAAACAGUAUUUCUUAAUAUUUCAAUACUUUCUUGUGAUUCUGCUGAAUUAAUUUCUAAUAACUUAUUAUUAUAACAAUUUUCACACAAUAUUGAAUAUGUAUUAUAGUAUUUAUUUGCAACUAAUUUACUACACUCAUGACAUUUUUCUGGCCAACCUAAAUUAAUGUAUUUAUAUUCUUCUUCAUGUUGUUCUUCUAUGAAGGCACGAUAUACUCUUCUAAAUCACUAUUGUGCUACUUGAAUCUUCUGAGUCGAAUCUAUCAUGUUUAAUACUCUCCAUACUAUAAAUACUCUCAUUAUCACUUAAAUUAUCUAAACUUAUAUUGACUGAAUAUCCUCAUCUUCUUCUACUUAAGUAACUCCAUCAAAUGUACUUUCUCUUUUGACUGUUUACCUAGUUUUGGACAUUAGGUCUAAUAUGUCCAGCUUCUCCACAUGAAUAACAUUUACAAUUACUCUUAUCUUUGGUGCUUAUAUUCUCUAAUCCAAGGUCUUCCACUUCUUUUUCUAAAUUGUUUUUGGAAUAUAUUUUUCUCUUCCUAUAUGUUUUGAAGGUCUUAUACUGAAAUUCUUAUACUUUUGUAGGUUUAUAUGACUUAUAUUUCUUUUUGUGUAUUUUCUUAUGUUAUUUUUUUAUGACAACCAUACUGUUGUGGUAAAUCUAUGUUUUACAACUCAUGUAAAAUUGUUUCCUAAUUUGUCUCUUAGCUUUUAUUUGACUACACUUUGUCUAAGUAUAUCGGUUACAUGUUGAAUCUAGGUCCUAUUGCAAUAUGCAUUUUUCUUUGAUGUUUUUUGCAUUCAUUCCAAAAUCUUAUGGUCAUUUUUGUCAUAUAAUAUCUAAUAAAUUAUUCACUAAUUCUACCUGUUCUACCUAAAUAUUUAAAGAAAUCAGUGGUAUAUUCAGCUAUAUAUUGUAAAUCACAAAUUUGUAAUUGUUCUAAAUUUUCUAAUUGCUCUUUUCUGGCUCUUGUUCACUUCUGUCAUCUAAUCUAUUAUGAUCUAAAAAUUCUUGUUUAAUCAAAGUAACAAAACCAUCAAUAUAUAAAAUGUGUUUUAGCUGCCUGAUGCUGUUCUGGAUUUUGGACUUUCCAUGACUGGAAAUAAUCAAAAUAAACCAUCUAAAGUAUGCUCAAAUAAUCUAGCAUAUUUUGUGAAUUACUAAUCUAACAUCAAUGCUGCAUGUAGCAAUUUUUUCCCAUCUUUCAAUUGUUCUCUCCCAAUCUUGUGGAUCACAUUGUCUAAUUUAAUAUAUUACCAGCUAUUUAAUUUGUUCUAACCUCUCAAAUAUGGAAUCCUAUUUUUUCUAGGUUUAUCAUGCUUUCUUCUAUGUGGUCUACUCUUGCUCCUUAUUAUAAUGUUCAUUUGUGGUCUCAAAAUUGUUGAUCAGUUCUAUUGCUUGUCCUGGAUUUACUCCUGAUGUACUACUUUCUUCGCUGGAUUACAUUCUUCUUUNNNNNNNNNNNNNNNNNNNNNNNNNNNNNNNNNNNNNNNNNNNNNNNNNNNNNNNNNNNNNNNNNNNNNNNNNNNNNNNNNNNNNNNNNNNNNNNNNNNNNNNNNNNNNNNNNNNNNNNNNNNNNNNNNNNNNNNNNNNNNNNNNNNNNNNNNNNNNNNNNNNNNNNNNNNNNNNNNNNNNNNNNNNNNNNNNNNNNNNNNNNNNNNNNNNNNNNNNNNNNNNNNNNNNNNNNNNNNNNNNNNNNNNNNNNNNNNNNNNNNNNNNNNNNNNNNNNNNNNNNNNNNNNNNNNNNNNNNNNNNNNNNNNNNNNNNNNNNNNNNNNNNNNNNNNNNNNNNNNNNNNNNNNNNNNNNNNNNNNNNNNNNNNNNNNNNNNNNNNNNNNNNNNNNNNNNNNNNNNNNNNNNNNNNNNNNNNNNNNNNNNNNNNNNNNNNNNNNNNNNNNNNNNNNNNNNNNNNNNNNNNNNNNNNNNNNNNNNNNNNNNNNNNNNNNNNNNNNNNNAAAUAUUAAGCGUGAUAACCAUAAAAGAAAAGGUAUCUGAUAGCUUAAUGAACUUUACAUGUUGCAUUUGACUUUUCUUUUGAGAUGUCUUAGGGGUAUCAUAUAUUCAUUAAUCAUUUAAGCAUCGCUUUGGAAACAUGGAGUAAAAACGAAUAGGCACUCUGUCAUACUUUUAAUAUCCUGGGUAUUGCACGUUGGCAACAGCAUAUUGGUGGACUGCUUGUUCAGUUUGAUUGUACUUCUCAUUCAUGUUAGUUUAUUAUUCUAAAGCCUAUGCUUACAUAAAUAUUAAGCAUAAUAACCAUAAAGAAAGGCAUCUAAUAGCUUAAUGAAUUUUACAUCUUAUAUUUGACUUUCCUUUUGAGAUAUCUUAGGGAUAUCAUAUCUUCAUUGAUCUUGAUAUUAAAUAAUUGAUUUCAUUCCGGGGCAUUAUAAUUGUUGGUGCGUUUUUUUUUGUAACAGUUUGAAUUUUUUGUAACAGGUUGGUAAUGAGAGACUAACCUUGUGCAACGUAGGAUCAAGUAAAAGCAACUCGUCUAUCGUUUUUGGUUCAGAAUCAGCACCAAUAACAUGCCUUGUAUACAUGUCAGUUGAGCUGGGCAAGAUCCGCAUAGGUGAUUUUAGAUGCUCAAACCUAUUUUUUGCAUGGUUUGGGUGAGAAAGAUUAAACUAAAAAAUAUAAAUGCAAAAGUUCUUAAAGAAGGGUUGUUUAUUUACCUGCGCUUGUAUUCAGAGAGUUGUGGAAUGUCCGGAUUGAAAACAUAAACGGUUGAUCCUGUGCUUCCAAGAACAGGCUUUCCUAUAGAUAAAAAGAGAAUAAUGAACAAAUUGAAACUUUAAGCAGUUUAAUAAAGCAUGUCGGGGUAUGACCUUGGUAUUGUUUAACUUUGAGGCCUAUCAAAGCAACAAACACGGGUGGCAAUAACGAUUGUAUUCCAUUGUCCUCAAAAUUUGUCGCAGUCUCUCCCCAUAAGGUGAUCCUUACUGUUUCACCCCUGUAAAUAAUUAAGAAGGUGUCAGUCAGUUAUACGUUACGUCUACGGUGUCAUAUGUGAAAAUUGUAAUCAAAGUUUAACGCAUAUAGAAAUUACCUGAUAUUUUGGAGAUUAAGAUUUCUCUUCUUUGCAAUUCUUGUGCGUUGGAUGGUUACCUCUUCAAUCGGCUGCACAGCUGUCAAGCAACCAAAUAUAUCUAUAGACGAUGUUCAUUAGCGAGAAUGAGUGUGCACCAAAGCCAACAAAAAAAUUAAAAUGAUUCUCAUAUUUUGGAGUGGCGCUGAAGAGUAAAUUUGUUACCUGUAAGUUCAACAUCCCUAUCGAUUUUUUCGUAAAGCUGCUCAAGCUCAAUUUAAUUGAACCAUUGCAUCGGGAUUUCCUGGCUUGUUUUGUCAAUAGGAACGAUUGUGGUUUUGCUAUUCAAUUCAAUUAUGGCAGCAUGAGGGACAACCUUGCUUGAUGUCCUGUUGUGAACAACACGAAAUUUGUUGAUUUCGUAUGCUUCGCCAACCCUUAGAUGGUUAAAAAAAUAUUGCAUGUCUCGACUGUUCAUGGUUGCAUGAACCGCAUCCCCCUUUCAGAAGAAGAAAAAUAAAAUCAGACAGUAUAUACUAAAUGAGCAGGAGAACAUUUAACGCAAAAGGUUAUGGAACCACGUAAGAAGUAAGCGUAGCAUAGUGGUACCUACAGAGAUAACAUGUAAGAUCAUAUGGAAGAUAAUAGAGAAGAUUACUUUAAGAAUGAAAUUCGCAGCAAUUGAAGCAACUUUGUAAAUAUAUAUUUAGUUUCAUUUGUACAGGUAGGAAAAAAGAAGAAAAUAAAUUAAGGAAAAGAAUAGUUGGUAGUUGAUACUCAGCUUCGUUUGUUCAGUUAAAAAAUCUUCCUCAAAAAUAACAAAAUAUAAUCUCUCUAGUGAAAUAUAAAGAGAGCCGAAUUGUGUAUGGUGCACCAUGAAUAUUUUUGUUAAUAAUGCAAUUUAUUUUAAGCCAUGCUAUUAUACGGAAAAAAAUGGAAUUUUGAUUUGUUGUCCACCUGCAUUAACUGGUUAAAUGCAGCCUCUAAAUGAAUGUCGAGGGCUAACAUUGAAUCUAGCAAAACAAUUCGCCAAAUAUUAAUUAUGCAGAAAUGAUGUAUAAUUGUGUAGAGGAUUUGGUUCACGAACUUUAAGAUAAGUUUGAUCACAAAAGUGUGUUGUAAUAAUUGUGUGCACAUUUUGAUACACGAAAAUAGUAGUGUUUGACGACAGGUUAAAAGGUGUAAGAAUCUUACUUGUUUAUCAACAAAUACACAAUCAAGACUUGUAGGUUGAGGAUCAUUUCCGAUGCUCUUCGUGACCCAUAUCCUACAAACCCUGAUCUGGAGUUUGUUUCCUGGUUGGUACGGCGUCAGAAAACUAAUUGGCAUCGCAUCCAUUAAUCUAGCAAAAGAUGAAAAAUUUAGAAGCAAAUUAAAUUCAACAUUGAAUAGGGUGAUUUAUGAAAGAAAUGGUGGAGCCAUGUUUACAAACAAAAAAAAAAUAACAAAGGGACAAAAAUGUGAACAUAAACGUAUACCUGUAUGUAAAUGUUUCAAUACAUCUUUAUAAACAAUGUUUUUUUGUAUAACCGUAAGGCAUGUCACUAUUGUGAGCAAUAACAAUUUUGAGACCCUUUUUUGAGGUGACCCUGGAUAGCGUAACAUAGAGUUGUCCAUGAGAAAAAACAGUCUGCGAUAGAAAACAAACCAACCAUUUUCAAGGAUUGUCCUUGACUUUUGUUGAUUGUCAUUGCAUAACAAAUUUUUAGAGGGUAUUGUCGUAUUCGCACAGUAAAAGGAUAUUUAUGCUGAGAUGAUUCAGUAAUGAUCCUGGGGAUAUAAACUCUUUCGCCAAUGUUUCUUCCCGUCAUGAUUUUUGCUUGUACAACUUUGUCGUUCAAUUGUGUUACAACCAAUCGUGUUCCAUUACACAGCCCUUGACUUUGAUUUAAAUUUCUGAUCAACAUCACUGGGGCACCAACUUUCAAAGACAACUUGUGGUGCGGCAAACCAGGUAAAUCAAGUUGGUUUAGAAAUUCUAUUGGAUAAAGCAUAUCUAAAUUUUCAGAAUUUUCUGUUGCAGAAGACACCGAAUCAAAACUGAGAUAAGUACGACUUUCGCCAGGUACUAUACCCAACACAAAAAAUCGUUGAUUUCAGUUGCUGUAUCAUUUCGUGGCGUCACAAUAGCUCUUUCUUUCAGAUAUGAGACAUCUCGAAAAUUUGCUUUGAAAUUUGUAUACACAGCUGAAACCAUGGCUUUGAUGGGAUCGUCAUCAAAAUGGAUAAGGAAUUGGUUUGGAAAUUCGACCCAAGAGCUUUCUUCAUCAGCUGAAGAUAUAGAUCUGGCAACAGUACCAUUUCCAAUAUCUAGUAUCCACUUUGCAAAAUCAGCGAGUUCUUUUUUUUUCACUUCGUUCAGACCUGUUUUCGAAAGCCUCAUGUUUUGCUUAAGGAAAAAUAUAGUUAAAUAGGACCAAAGGUAUGAACUCGUAAAUGAAGCUUGGACGAUGUCAGCAACACUUCCGCUUGGAACAACAGGAAGAAUUUGCCUGAAAUCACCUCCGAAAAGAAUUGGUUUACCUCUAAAUGGCAAAUGGUCAAAGCCUGGUUUUGACCCUUUAAGAACAUCACGAAGAGAUCUAUCUAGAGUUUUCAAAAACACCGUUUAUGAUUCAUGGGGGCUUCAUCCCAAACAAUAAGAGUAGCGUCAGUGAUUAGUUUUGCAAGAUGAGUCCCUUUUUUAAUUUCACAAACCGAACAAUUAGUGAUGUUGAUAGGAAUUUUAAAUCUAAAGUGAGCCGUCCUUCCACCAGGAAGCAAGAGGGAGGCAAUUCCAGAUGAAGCCACAGCUAAAACAAUUUGAUUUUGGGAUCUAAUUCUAGUUAUGAUGGUGGUCCACAAAAAAGUCUUGCCUGUUCCACCAUGACCAUGCACAAAAAAUAGGCCAGAUCUAUUGUUGUCAAUCGUCUCCAUGACGCUGUCAUAAACUAAUUUUUGCUCCUUGUUUAAUUGGCCGAUCAGGAGUGAGUGCUCUUGUUUUAGUGAGUUAGCAUCAUAAUUUAACUCUUCUCUCAAACUCCUAGCUUUAAGUCUAUCCAUCAUUAGAUUAUUUGGUUGUGGUAGGUGAUGCUUUGAUAGAGAACUAUUUGAAGCUGUAAACAACUUUUCUAACUCGUACAAAAGCGAAUUUCUAAGUUCAUCCUGAUAUUUAGAAAGAUCUUGUAGCCCAAAAGCGUUAUGCAUGUUCUUGGAAAUGUCAUCGCACAUGGUUUUCCAAUGUGCUUCAAACAAAGCUGAUGGAUCAGUGACAUCACAAAAGAGCACCAACGUGACAAACAAUUGCCUCAAUUGGAAAGAUGAUGCAGUGAUAACUGCUUUUAACAUAGCGCUAUUCCAUUCCCUAUCAUCUCCCAAUAAACCAAGGGACAUGCAUGCAGCUUGGAAUGUGGGUUCAAGAACCUCUUUGACGGUUUUUAAAUGGUCAAAACUAAAGAUGCCUUUCUGGUAGUUUAGCAGCAACCUCAAAUAGUAUAAUUCACCAGCAGCAGGGUGAACAUACGCAACCCUACCUAAAGAUCUGCCUUGUUUUUCUACGGCUCCAUUGUUUCUCAUCAUUUUUCCAAACAUACUUCGUCGGAAAUUCAACAUAAGAUAACUUACGUGCAUCAGGAUCUUGGACAUUGGUUUCAAACCAUUGCGUUAACAUUGUUCUUUCGAGAUUAGGGUGGUUGAUAACAUAGUUUAGAUCAUCGGUCUCUCUAAAAACAACGUUUUGGUCAGAUGGAAGGUGUACAGACAAUCUUUCAACCGAUGGUUCCCUAAAAUGAAUGUGAAACAGUAACAAUCUCCAAACAGCUUCGUAAGGGCAUAAAUAUCUACAAUUUAGAUAAGCCACAACCUCAUCAAACUUUUCAUCCUCAAAAACAGCUCUAGCCCGAUCAACACCUUUAGUUAUGUACUUAAAAAGAUACUUGAUGAGUGUUGAUUGGCAGCAUGAUUCAACAUUUAUAUGCGCUUGAUAAUUCAAUAAUAGCUCACGAUUAUAAGGGACAACAAAUGCGUUAUCAAGCUUGAUUCCUUUUUUUAGAACAAACAAAUUUUCUAUAUCCCGACGCUUAUAUGCAACGAAACCAUCAUCAGAAAAAGUGGUUUCACUUGUGAAAGGUUUUGGAAAUUUUUUUGAACAUUUGUUUUCUUUCAUGCAUGGUGAAAAUCGAUUUGCAAGACCACAUGGCCCAUGAAUCAUGUAUUGUGAAACUGCAUCGUACCCAACUUUGUCAACAUCUGCAUCAGGAAUCUCAACCGAAAUGAUAGAAUCAACAUCGUAGGGAGAAUGACAUUUAUAAUGUUUGUUCACCCAGACCAAGAUAUGACAAUGAGGAAGACCCCGUUUUUGGAACUCCACCGUGUAAAUCACUGUUUUUAAAUAGAGAAUGCAAAGACAUCAAAACAAAACACUCUAGAUAUGUAAUGAUUAGAUAGAUAAACAAAGAAAGGGAAAAUUUUGGCCAAGAGCGAUUAACUAACCUGAUUCGACAUCGCCAAAAGAUUUCCCUGAUUUGAUGAAUUUAAUCAUAUGGUUAAGCUUUGCUUUAAAAAUUCGGGAGACUAUAUCAGGCCUGUCUUCAGGCCUACAACCAGGUUUAUCACGUAGAUCUUCAAUAAUUUCAGGCCAUUUAGCAUUGCAGGUGAAAGUGAUAAAUAAAUCAGGAUUUCCAAAGUGACGGCAUAUGGCCAUCGCAUCCUGAUAAUUAUUUAUCAUAUAUCUAACGCUGCCAGUAAACAAAGUUGGCAAAAUGACUCUCUUGCCAACACCAGAACUGCUUGUAUUUCCUUCUUUGAGAGCUUCAUGAAUUGCUUUAAGAUUUUAUGUUCUAAAAGAAUCUUGAUUUGUCCUAAUAAAAUCUAACCUAUCUUCUUCAAGCGUGGCAUAUGCAUCAACUAAAUAUUGUUGAAAAUUGAAACAAUCUACCACCUUUCAAUAGGGUGUCAUUUUGUCCUGGUCUAUCCUGAAUUUGAUAACCUAGAAACGCUCUCAGUGAUACUCCCCCAGUUUUUGGUUUUUUCCCUUUAUAAUCUGGAUUCCAAGGAAGGCCUUUCUUAUUCCCAUCUUCACCGUAGGGGAAAAGAAGAGGAUAUUGUAGUGCCAUGUACUUAGGAUGUAACUUUGUGAUUCUUUGUAGGCCAUGCGUCCUAUGCUCCACAAUGAUAUCUCUUUCAGUGUGGAAUUCGCCGAUAUCCCCAACAAUCAUCUCGUCACACGCCGGCAAAUUAUAUUGUGCAUCAUGGUUAGCCUGUGCACCGUAUAAACGCAUACGUAAAUGACUUGUGGACCCUUCAUCAAUCAUAUCUCUAGCGAGCCUAAAAAGCUUAACGACCUCAUUACAGUCGUCUAGCAUUUUAAUGAGGCUAUCAACAACAUGAUGGUCGAGUUUUUCAACCGUUUCUGAUCCACUAAAACAACCAAUACGAUUACUGACUUCAUUUUUGAGUAUCAUGAAUGUAUAGUUGUGCAAAUUUAGGAUUUUCGCCCUCCAGAGGCAAUAAAGAACCCAUCAAAUGAUGCACUUGACUAUUAAUUUUAAAAACAUAAGGACCCCGACCCUUGUUGAUUGAUGCAUCGACUUUGGCUCCCAUUGAUGUUAAUACCAUCAUUGAAUUAUACGAUCUAAUAUUUGUUUUAAAUUGCAAGCUGUUUCGAGAAUUUUUGGGAUUCAACAAAUCAUCCAAAUAUGGAGGGGUGGGUUUAACGCGUGGGAAUUUUACUUUUUGACUCAUGCAACACGUGGUGAACUGCAAGGUAUAAGAUGAAGCAUUCUUGGCGGACUGUUCUGUAGACCAAAACAGAGCACCGCAAUAUUGACAUUGACAAUUUCUUAAGCCAAAAUCAACAUAUUCUGGAUCAAUCCCUAUAAAAACAAAGAUUAACAGAAGCAUUCAUCAAAUCGACAACCUUAAGUUAACUGAUGGAGGAAACUUAACUUUUGAAAUUAGUAAGAAUGAGAAUAGAGUUAUGUUGAAAGAUUGCGUACUUUUUCUUUUUUUUUGAUAGUUGGCUUGUCCGGUUAUCAGCGGGUUCAAGCCAGAAUGAUUGGUUUGAGCAUGAAUGGCUAACAAACUGUGCUCAUUGGCACGAUCAGCAAGGAAAACCGGUACAGAAAUCUGAUGAGAACUUGUCCCAGGUUCGAAAUGUGGGUUAAAAACACCACGCAUGGGAAUAUUUUGUUUUAAAGCUGAUGCAAAUGUUUGGGGAGGGCUGUCUUGGUUGUUCAAAGAUGUUGAAACAUCAUUAUCUUGAUCGUCGUAAGCGGUGGGAACAUCUUGCAACUCUGAAUUAUUGAGAUCACCAUCCGCAACAACCGCAUCCAAAUAGGCACGUUGAAUUUCAACGGCCCUUCUAGGUCGCCUUAUUCGUUUAGACAUAAAACUAUACAAAGGGGAAAAAAACAGAAACAGUAGCGCACUCUUUAAUAAAAGCAACACAUCAACGAAAGAACCAUCUAGACCAAAUGAAAUUAGCAGCGAGCUAUAACCCAUUAAAGCAAGAGGUGAUUGAAAACACAAACACAUUCUAAACAUAACAGUAAAAACACAAUCAUAAUGAGAUUAGAUUAGAACAAAGAAUAGAGAAACUUAAUAUGCGGCUGUCUUCUUGAACAGCAUUGUUUCCCGUUGAAACGGUAAAAGGUAUGAAUAAAGCAUGCAACGAUUGCUAAAAAAAUAGCGAUAAAGAAGACCAACAUAAAGAUCAAACAACAAAGCAACCAUAAGGUCUCAAAAGAGCAAACAGAAAUGAAGAAGGUGAUGUUCCUUAAAGGUGCAGAAAUCUAACCGAUAUAGAGACGGGAUUGUAGCUGGGCACAAAUCCUACUGAGCAGUAAUGCAAGUUUGCAACGAUUAAAACAAAAGUUGUAGAACCUACAAAAAGGAAGAGAAAAUAUAAACGCAUAUAUAAUUGGAACGACGUAUGUUUUAAUACUUUAAAGAAAUUACAUGCAUCAAAAGCCUUUAGGUUAGCAAAAGUUUUUAGGUUAGCAAAAAAAAAAUGAAUUGCCUGAAAUAGAGACGAUCAGGAUUUAAAACGUUUAAAUUUUGUCCUAGGUUGACUAAUUAGAUGCAAAAGUGAGACAGCAUGAACAAUUUAACACCGAGAAAGACCAACAAUACUAAAGCACAAUCGAGCUAAUAAUAAAAAAAGCAUAUAAUGCAAAAGAAUAACAACAGGGCAAAACACUUUUGGUUGAUCUUACAACAGGCUAACGGGAUAAGAUAAAUCACCAGAUAUUGCAACCAUGACAAAGUCCGGAAGGCAAGAUAAUGGACUUUUGCUCUAGUUAAAAAAAUAUUAGCAUGUGUUACAAGCAAUGUAAUGUUGUGAUGUAGUUUCAUUCUUUUUCACAAAGCUCUCAAUUUGGACUCUUAUGAAAUGUUGAGUUUGAUACAAAUUAUUAAUGAUAGAAAUACUCUAGCAUGUUUUGAGUUUAAGCGCAUCACUUAACGAUGCCAGCUCAUCUAUAGAUUGACUAAUUGUAAUUAGCUUCAUGACGCAGUUUUUAUAUACUUACACGAAUAAAAACUGACAAAGCAUGUAAAAUCAAAUUGAUAGUAAAAGAAUUAGGUAAAUCCAUUCAACAACUACUAAUCAAAUUGUAAAAGUGAGAUAUGCGUUUUUCUAGGUUUAAUAAAAGCACCAAAGUAAAAGGUUUUUAUAUGCGUUAUGAGAAAAAUUCAUUACGGCACCAAAAAUCGUUGAUCAAAGCAAAGGCAAAAAAAGCAAGAGCCACACAAUUGAUGCUCUUCAUCAUCGUGGGGUAAAACUCUAGCUAAAGAACAUGCCGCACCUACUUGGGGGAUAGGCAAGGCAGGAGAAGAUACCACUCCAGCAUACGAACAAAUACCGCUAGAGAAGAUACCAUAUCUGUUUGGGGGAAAAGUGGAGAAGCCACCAUUUUUGCCUGGGAGGCAAAUAAAGCAAGUGAAAAUGAUACAUCAGCCGUGGUGAUUUUGAACAAUAUGCUCCAGGAUCAAAUGAUUCAGGUGUUGAAUCCUCGUAAAUGUUGAUAUGAGAUCCAUAGGCAUUUGAAUAGAACACUAAUGGGGCGGGUCGUGUGGAAUUAUGAUGUGUUUGUAGUACUAUUUACAAAUACAAUGACACUUAUAGACGCUCCGGUUAUUUUUGAGUUCGUGUUGGUUUGUGUCCGUAGUGUGUAACGUAUGCAUUUAUAGUUUAAUCCAUAUAUUUUCACAUGCUGCUAUAUGCUCUGUUUUUAAUAAAAAAAUAAAUUUUAAAGAUGGAGACAUGCAACGCGAAACCUACAAUUAGAUCUGGAUCACAAAAUGGCAAAAAAAAAAAAGGGAGUUUUAAUGAAAAGAGCUUGGUACUAUUCAUUCUUAACCAUAAGGACAUUUUAUGUAUGAAAAGUCUAUAAUAGAUCAAACUCUUCUCUUUAUUUACUCUUAUGCCAUUACAUGCGGACCACAACGAUGUUGACAUUUCUGUCUGGAAAUACAUUAUGAUGCUAUUCAUCUUAUGCUAAUUUACAGCUAGUUCUUCAGGCUUCCAUCAUGUUGUCGAUGUUAUGCAGCUCUUCUUCUGACAAAUUAUUCCAAUACUGUUCAUCGCAUUCUACUAGCUCUGCAUCUCUUUCUCUAUCUUCUUUCACCUUGUAAUAUAUUUCCGCUGUUUCUUCUUUGAAAUUUUGGGGCUUCCAAUAAGGCUGAUGACUGAUUCUUGUCUUGCUGUAAAAAUAUACAUCUCUUCUUCUUCUGCUACUAGUACCAUAUCAUACCUAAAAUCUUCAAACUCAUCUAAAGCAAACAUUUGGAUCCCUCUAAAUUUAAAAUAUCUUUGUAUGAAGGAGUCCACCUAUGUGAGGAGAUAGGGUUUAGUCUAAAGGACUCUUCAUUGAUCAUGGCUAUAUGCCUAGCUUUCUCCUUAUGCAUGUGUACAUACCAAUCUGGAGGACUACUAAUAAAACUUAUGCAAAUUUCUUUCCACCUUUCUAAAUAGUCUUCUGCUACUUUAAUAAGCUUUUCAGGAAAUGAUUCUAGUUGAGAAAUACGGUUAAUAAAUAUUUUAUCGAGAUAACCAAACUCUAAUAGUAAGGCAGGGGUGACUUCUACCUCAUUAUGCUUUUUCUGAUGCUCAUAACUAAAAUGCCAUGAUUUAAAAUCUCUCAUGUCAAUCCUGGCCACAGCUACGCUAACUUCUGGUUUACAAAUACAAUUCUCUGUACUAUCACAAAGACAUGGAGGAUACAUCUUUGUAAUAAUAUCCAUCCCUGGUUUUGGAUCAAAGAUGGACUGAUACAAGGCGCAUUGUAAUGUAAAUUGUAACUCUUUCAUGGACUGUGAUGCUCUGCUCAGGAUCUCAUUUUGCAUAUCUGUUGGCAUUAUUCUUAGUUUUGCUUUUUGAAAUUUCUUCUAAUAAAACAUCGUCUAAUAUUAAGUCUGAAGAUAUAUUUCUAAGAAAACUUUCAUAUUUUUCUUGUUUUUCUUUGUCACUCAGAACCUGAUGCUGAUCAUUACUUUGAUGUUGCUCCAUUUCAACGUCUUCUUCUAAGAGCUCAAUCUUAAUUUCUUCUAUGGGUUCAUUAGCCUCUUGUUCUAUGAGUUCAAUAACCUCUUUUCCUUUAUGCUGAUCAAUUUCUAAACCUAUUUUUAAUUCUCUUUUCAAGGUGUCACUUGCCUUUUGCUGCAUUCUAAGAGAUUGGAGUUCUUGGUUCAUUUUGGUAAACUUACCAAGUAAUGACUCAUGGUCCCUAGAAAUGGCUUGAAGAUUGUGCUCAAGAGAAUAAAUAUGCUGCUGGUUUUGGUGGAAAUUAAAAUUAAAGCUAUCAAACUCUUGUUCCAAGGCUCUAAUUAAUUUUUCAUGGCCUAACCUCAUACUUGGCUGCUUAAUUUGGAUAUUCCAGAAAUUAUCUAAGAGAACCUGCUGCCUAUCAGAAAGCCCCGGUUACCCUUGACCUGUAUCUCAGAGUUGGAUUUCUGAUUCCUUCAACAAUAUUGCCAUUAAAGUUGAACGUGGGUACUGGUGGUGAUGCUGGUCUGCUCAUGCUAUUUUUGAAAAUCUACUGAAUGGUGGAGGUUGAUGGUGCAUCAUCAUCAUGCCAUUGAAAGAAACUCUUCUGCCUUGCGGCCUUGUGCUAUUUGCUGAUGAUGGUCCACGAUAUUCCAUACCUGUUCAACAAAUUAAUCUUGAUAAGAUAUCAGCUAAUGUAUUGUCAUUACCUUUUAUAUGUUCAAAAAUUGGUUUAAAACCAUUUCCUGUAAUUGAAUCAACAAAAUUAACCCAUCUUCGAGCUGCCUGUUUAUUAGCAUGUAUCUUGUUAUAAUGAGAAACUAUAUUUUGACAAUCUGUUCUAAUCGUAAAUACUUCAUUAUGUAAAAAUAAAGAAAAUGUUUCAAGUGAAUUAAUUAUCCCUAAAAUUUCUAAAUCUGUUGAUGGUAAUCUUGACUGUACAUCACUAAACUUUCCUGAGGAAUAUCUACAAACUUGUUCGUCAGACUUUGGAGACUCCCUAUGCUUUUUCUGGUAUAGUAUACCUGCCCAUCCUAAUGAUGAAGCAUCUGUUUCGACUAUCUUAUAACUAUCAUCUAAUGGUAAUGUUAAUGGCUUAAGUUUAGUAAUUUCUUAUUUUAUUUUCUGAACUAAUUUAAUAUCUUCACUAUUAAAAUAUUUUUGUCCCGUUUUGCUAGUUUUACUAUGUAAUACUGCUAUUUUUCUUCCUAAAUCAGGGAUAAAAUUUCUUGCAUAAUUUAGCAAUCCUAAAAAUGCUUGUAACUGUUUCUUAUCUUCUAAUUUGUUUGGAAAUUCUAAUACCUUUUUAGCUAUAUGAUAUUGUAAUUGUAUCGUACCUGACUUGAUAUACAUUCCUAAAAAUUCUAUAUCUUGCUUUUCUAAUGCUAUUUUAUUUUUUGCUAAUCACAAUCCCAUUAUUAAUAAAUUCUUGUAAAACUAUCUCUAAAUGCUUCCUAUGUUCAUUUCGAUUUUUUACUAUGUAUUAAAAUAUCAUCUACAUAAACACUACAAAAAUUAUCAUAUUUCUUGAAAAUUUGAUCCAUCUUUCUUUGAAAGAUCGAUGGAGCAUUUUUAAGUCCAAAUGACAUAACAAGCCACUCAAAAUGUCCUUCUGGACAAGUAAAAGCUGUCCACCCAAUUGAUUCUUCUGCUAAUCGUAUUUGCCAAAAAUCCUGAUUUACAAUCAAAUUUUACUAAAAUAUUUACUUUGUUGAAUUUUAUUUAUAAGUUCAUCUUUAUUUGGUAACUUAUAACUAUCUUCAUAUGUAUUAUCAUUUAAUCUCUUAUAAUUAUAAACUAUUCUAGCCUUUUCUCUUUUUAGCUCUGAAUGUUUUCUUACUACAAAUGCUGCUGAUCUGUGUCUGGACUUAGAGGGUCUAAUUACUUUUAAAUUUAACAACUCUUUUAUUUGCUGCUCAAACUCUUGUUUAUCUAUUAGACUACAAGGCAUAUCAGCCGUCUUAAUGGUUAAAUCUGGGUUAAUUAUAUCUAAUUUUGCUAGUAUUUUAUUUUUACUCCAAUGUAACUGUGGGUCUUCUCCUAUAAUCCUAGUUUGUUCUGCUAAUUGUAACAAUUCUUCUAAACUCUUUGGUUUGUUUAACUGUAAGAUUUCUAUACGGGUUCCUUCAUCUAUAAUUGGAUAUUCGUGUUCAAAUAUUUCUUCAUCAAACUCAAACUCUUUUAGAUUAUUAUGCUCAUCAUUUUCUUUUGAAUUUUCCAAAUAAUAAUUGUCUUGACUACUAGAUUCUUCUAUACUUAUACUUUUGUAUGCUUCUAUGGUAUUACUUUGGUCAGUUAUUGUAAUUCCUCUUUUGAAAAAUGUUAUGCUAGGGUUCAUAAAUAAAAAACCUUGUAAACUUUUCAAAAAGUUUAAACCUGGAAUGAAUGGGUAUGAUCCUACUGGUGAGACAAUGUUAAUGGUAGGUUAAAUUGUUGAUUUUCCACUUUAAUGGACUCAUUAUUAAUGCAAUGUGUUAAAUAGACUGGUCUUUCAUCAAACUGCGUUAUUUUCACUGGUUUUGCUAAUUUUUGUCUAUACUUUUCUGGUACUAACUCCUCUCUUAUGACACUCUUAGUACUUCCUGUAUCUAUCAUAGCUGUUGUUUGUAUCUUAUGUUCUUUUGCCAAUUCUAUUUCACAAUUUAUGGUAAUUAAAGAACUAUUUUUUAGCUUUUCUAUACUAUAAACAGUAUUUCUUAAUAUUUCAAUACUUUCUUGUGAUUCUGCUGAAUUAAUUUCUAAUAACUUAUUAUUAUAACAAUUUUCACACAAUAUUGAAUAUGUAUUAUAGUAUUUAUUUGCAACUAAUUUACUACACUCAUGACAUUUUUCUGGCCAACCUAAAUUAAUGUAUUUAUAUUCUUCUUCAUGUUGUUCUUCUAUGAAGGCACGCAUAUACUCUUCUAAAUCACUAUUUGUGCUACUUGAAUCUUCUGAGUCUGAAUCUAUCAUGUUAAUACUCUCCAUACUAUAAAUACUCUCAUUAUCACUUAAAUUAUCUAAACUGUAUAUUGACUGAAUAUCCUCAUCUUCUUCUAACUUAAGUAACUCCAUCAAAUGUACUUUCUCUUUUGACUGUUUACCUAGUUUUGGACAUUUAGGUCUAAUAUGUCCAGCUUCUCCACAUGAAUAACAUUUACAAUUACUCUUAUCUUUUGGUGCUUUAUAUUUUCUAAUCCAAGGUCUGCCACUUCUUUUUCUAAAUUGUUUUGGAAUAUAUUUUCUCUUCCUAUAUGUUCUUGAAGGUCUUAUACUGAAAUUCUUAUACUGUUUGUAGGGUUUAUAUGACUUAUAUUUCUUUUUUGUGUAUUUUCUUAUGCUUAUUUUUUCUUAUGACAACCAUACUGUUGUGGUAAAUCUAUGUUUUUUACAACUCAUGUAAAAUUGUUUCCUAAUUUGUCUCUUAGCUUUUAUUUGACUACACUCUUGUCUAAGUAUAUCGUAUACAUGUUUGAAUUCUAGGUCCUAUUGCAAUAUCAUUUUUCUUUGGAUGUUUUUGCCAUUCAUUCCAAAUCUUUUCUCCUAUUGGUCCUUUUAUUUUUGUCAUAUAAGUAUCUAAUAAAUUAAUAUCACUAAUUCUACCUGUUCUACCUAAAUAUUUAAAGAAAUCAGUGGUAUAUUCAGCUAUAUAUAUUGUAAAUCACAAAUUUGUAAUUGUUCUAAAUUUCUAAUUGCUCUUUUCUGCUCUUGUUCACUUCUGUCAUCUAAUCUAUUAUGAUCUAAAAAUUCUUGUUUAAUCAAAGUAACAAAACCAUCAAUAUUAAAAUGUGUUUUAGCUGCCUGAUGCUGUUCUGGAUUUUGGACUUUCCAUGACUGGAAAUAAUCAAAAAACUAAACCAUCUAAAGUAUGCUCAAAAUAAUCUAGCAUAUUUUGUGAAUUACUAAAAUCUAACAUCAAUGCUGCAUGUACGCAACCUUUUUUCCCAUCUUUCAAUUGUUCUCUCCCAAUCUUGUGGAUCUACAUUGUCUAAGUUUAAUAUAUUACCAGCUAUAUUAAUUUGUUCUAACCCUCUCAAAUAUGGAAUCCUAUUUUUUUUCUAGGUUUUAUCAUGCUUUCUUCUAUGUGGUCUACUCUUGCUCCUUCAUUAUAAUGUUCAUUUGUUUGGUCUCAAAAAUUGUUGAUCAGUUCUACUUGCUUGUCCUGGAUUUUCUACUCCUGAUGUACUACUUUCUUCUGCUGGAUUACAUUCUUCUUUUAAUUCUAAUAAAUUAUUAUAUUCUUUUGAUCCUAAAAUAUGUUCUACUCCUAUUUCUAAGAUUAAAUUUUUCAUCUCCUCAUCUGAAAUUUUAUGUAGUCCUAAAUCAUAUGUCUUAUAUUUUUCUAAAUACUUUUCUUCAUCUAAAUGAUCAAUAUCUUCUAUAAGCUUGUCUACAAUAUGAUCAAAGUUUUGCUCAACUAAAUUAAUAUCUAGAUUAUCAAAAGCCAUAUGUAUAUUCUCAUUUUCGAUUUCACUCUCAUCCUCUUCUAUUUUUUCUAGUUGUUUAUAAUUACUAAACCUAAUUGUUGCUUGACCUGUACUAGUUUCAUAUAUUUGUACUUUAUCUGGUUGUCUAUUUUGUGCUACUUGUAAAUUGGGCAAUGUCCACUGAGUUCCUUCUAAAAAGCUAUUAUCUACGGGUUUUGCUUCUAUCAUAUUUACAUGCUUACUGCCAAAUGUUUGAACUAAAUUUUGAAACUCUAAAUUAAACUUAUGAUUAUAUCUAUCAGACACUUUACCUAUAUACAUUAAGCUAAUACACAAAUUUUUAUAUUCUCCUUUCAUAUUAUAAUUUUUUGUUCUUAUGCUCACUUUAAUAUAUUUACUAAAUUCAUUAAUCGUCAUAACAUAAUUUGGAAUGCAACCUAUGACUGCUAAGUUUGAACUUAAGUCUACUUCAGCUGUUGCUAUUGCUGCUUGUUGGUGAUUAUCUCAUCUAUCAUCAUAUAUGUAUACUAAAGCCUUUGUACCUACUUGUGCUCUGGUUAAUCCUGCUAUUCCAAUUAAUAUUGUUCCUAUAUGAAUCUGACUAAAAUGUGAUUUUCUCAAAUGAGUAACUGCUUCUUUACUAAUUAGAUUAAGUGUGACUUCUUUAUCAAUACAACUAACUUCAUGUUGACUGAUGCUGCUUACAAUUCUACUUCUGUUUUCAAAUAAACCUAGUUGAUACAAGUUAUAUUUAUUUUUCUGUGUUCUCUCAAAACCUCUUCGAAUAAAUUCUUGUGCUUCUUCUUCAUUUGGAUAAAUAUCUUCCGCUCUAACUACUUCUUUUCCUUUUUUCCUAAAGAGUUCCAUUUUCUAUUAUCAAAAGGAUUUAGCUUAGGUCUUCUAUUAUUAUUUGCACUCAAAGUUACAUUUUCUAAUUUAUUUAGCAAGGAUGGUGGAAGUGAUGAAGAUGCGUUAUGUAAAACUUGGUUUAUUUCUGCUAUUUGUUCUUCAACUUGAUCUAAUUUUUCAGCUAGACUUAAAACUAAUUGGAUAAUCAAAUUAUUUUGCCUAAUGGGAAUAUUACUACUGGAUACUUGUGUUGAAAAAUCUGUUAAUCCUACUGGUUCUUUAUCUAAUUUACUAAUUUCUUUCAAAGCUUGAAUAUAUUUUCUGCUAGUUCUAGAAUCUGUCAUUAAACUAAUAAUUUGUCUAUUUUAUUAUGCAACUUAUCUACUUGUUCUCUCAACUCCUUUUGUACGAAUUGACUUUUUUGAACUUCUAAUUUUAGUUGUUCAACUAUUUCUAAUGACCUAAGUUCUACUUGCUUUGGCUUAUUAUCUAUGAGGUCAACAAGCUCUUUUAUCUCUCUUUUGCUAGGAAACCUUUGAAUAUUUUUAUUAUUAUCUUCUAACUGAGAUGUAAUAUAAUCUAAAUUUUGUCUAAUUAUCUUUAUGGAAUUUUUCUGAAAAUGUUCUAACAACUGGUUUAACAAAUGAUUAUGCUUAUUAUUUUCUAAUUUUAUAUUUUCUGCUUGACUAAUAAUAAGAUCUAUAAUACUAUUGGCUUGCGGAUUUUCUUCACUGUGCAAAAUAUGAUUAUGCUUUCUUGAUGGAAAAUAACAAACUAAACUAUUUUGGUCUAAAGUUAUUUUUCUUUUUUGGGGUUCACUAAUUUCUAAAUUAAGAUAAUCUAUCAUAUACUAUAGUCUACCUUUCUCUAAAGUUACAACUAAUUGGUUUCUUAGAACCUCUCUUUCUUCUCUCAGGGCCUCUAAAACUUGGUCAGUUACUCUUUUUGCUUCUAAAACUUUAUGAUGCACUUCAGUGUUAUUAUAUUUACUAAUAAAUGAAGGAUGUUCAAGAUAACCAAGAUAAAACUUUUGCUUCUUCAAGGUCCUGCUAAUUCUUUUGGAUAUAAAUGAUAAUCUUCUCUUUAUGCUAUUUAUAGUUGGAUGUCUAGGACAAUAAAUACCUGGUAAUUGUGGUUGACAAGGUCUACAGGGACAAUAAUAUCUGUUAUUCAUACAAAAUAAACAAGUGCGAUAUCAGUUGCUUUAAUGACUUCCGUCCUCAAGGUACUUUACUAUUAUAAUCAUAUUAUUAAAAUGCUAAACUUGGCUCUGAUACCAAAUUCGAAAAGCAUGCACGGUUAAAUAGUCAGAUGACCAUUAUAACAACUAGACAUAGAACCUUGCACAUGGAACUCGACAUGUUUCAGCAUGACGGCCACUCACAGUACAAUUAUAAGGCCUUAACGGCUGAACUCAGAGGUACAAAGAACUCAGAGGUACCCUGGUUAAUGUCUAGUUAUUUGUAUGGCAAGUAUUCAACUAUAACAGAGUGCUCGAACAAAGUAUGAUCGUCAGUUUAGCAGAUUAAUAAUAUAAUCACAAUAGUGUUUCCCUGUUUUGCACUAGAAGUCUAAUUAAACAAACACACUAAAGAAGGAAAAGAAAACUUACUUAAGACUUGAAGAUUGCUUGAAUAUGUACACUUGAACUUUUAUUGAUAUAUGGAAUGUUUACAGAGAUGGUUGUUUACAAGAAAGUGAUUACAAAGAAGUGUUUACAAGGAUGCUAUGAAGACUACGAAUGCUUGAGUGUAUGGUGUUUUCAGAUAUUGAGAUAUGUGUGUGGUAUUCAGGUGUUGAAAGAGGUCGUCUGUAUGGGAGGAAAGACUCCCUUAUAUACAAAAUCUAAAUCUUUAAAAUAACAUUUCAUCUAUUUACAAUUUUCUGAAUAGUGACAGCACACUGUUUCUGAAAACUGUCAGCACUGUUUCUGAAAGCUGGCUAUCUUGUCUUUGCUUGAAUGUCAUGUGAAUUUAUGUUGUCUUGGUUGCUGCAGAGUUUGCCACAUUUUCUUUUGCAUGUGAAUCUGUAUUGUCUUGGUUGUUACAUGUUUGCCACAUAUUCUUUUGCAUGGAAAUGUUUUCUGAAAAUGUCAAUCUCCUUUUUCUUCUUUUGGAUGUAUGCACUUGAACUUUGCAGAAAACUGACCCAAUCUUGUACAUAUGUGUGAAGGGUAGGAUUGGCAUUUUUGAAAAAAUCUGUCCUUAUGAUUAAAAGUAAAGUUUUGAGGGUGUUUUGGUUAGUUUUCCAAAAAAAAAAAUCCUAAUCUAAACAUCUGUAUACUAAAACCCCAUUUAAGCAGCCAUUAACAUCUGAUCCAGUACUUCAGCGACUCACUAACCCGCCAUACCGUCAUGUCUCAUCCCCUCUCCACCACUGACUAAACAAACUAAAGGUGCAAUUGGAUAACAAAUCCACUCAAUUUUAGCAACCUUGCUACAUACAUUAGCUUUGUUCAGCAUGAGACGAUAUAAGCAAAGGAAAAAGUCGAUGACAAGAGCGGCCAGCUCACUAUGAAAACUAAAACAUCAAGAUAGCAACGGCUUUAAAAGUGUAGAACCAGCAAAGAAGCAUCCGCUAAAAGAUCCUAUCAACAACAACAUAAAUGGCAUAAAAAAUAAGAGAGAAAAAAAAUCCCAGCACGAUAAGGUUAUUGCUAGGAAAAAUCAUUUAUCAGUAAGAUAGAAGUCUACCAAAAAGGUGCAAAGAAGAGUGUGAACAACAGUUUAUCCUUAAAAGAAUAUAAGGGUCAGCAAAAUACAUUUAUCAGCAAGAUAGAAGUUGACCAAAAAGGUGGAAAAACAGAGUAUUAACAACAGUUUAUCCUUAAAACGGUUAAAGGCUUAUCUGUUUACAUUAUUGCCCUUAUGACCGAACAAAAAAAGUUUACAUUGCCCUUAUCUUAUCUAAAGACCCACCCCUUCUCUAGACAUUUAAAACUCCAAAGGCCGUUGCGGCGGAGGCAAGCAAGAGCAACAAAACUCCAACCUUUUUCCAGCUAGCAAACAUGUGGAUGCCAUUGGAAAACCCCAAAAAGCGUUGUGAAAGUGUUUUAUCCAGCAUAACUUUUUCUUUCGGCGGAUUACUACGAUUUGCAGGUGGAUACAUAGUAUGGACCACCAAUUUGUUUCGGUUUGCACCCCUACCAUAAACACGCAAACCCAUCCUUGUUUUUUCUAUUUUCACUGAAUUCUUUGUACCAGGUCGCGGGGCAGUGUCAGAAUAUCUCACUAAUGUCCCUCGAUUUCGUUCAUCGUGUCGAGCCUUAACCAGUACCUUAAAUUUUUGACAAAAACUCCUCCUAGAAUCUGUUGUUCUCUUCGAUUGAUCUCUUGUACCAUUUUAUUUACCCUGAAUCAAAAUUUAAACAUAGCGUCAAUAUUUCUGUUUUUUUUGAAGUAUCUUUAAGCUUGUGAGUUGAAGUAUAACACCAUGAAAAACUUAACAACUCACAUUAAUAAAGUAAAAAUAUAAGAUUACCAAAAGUUACAUAUAAAUUAAAAAAAAACACAAUCAAAAAGCAUUUUGACAGUGUUUUAGAUCAAAUUUUGAAGUUUUAGCCGAUAAAGAAAAUACAUAACUUAAGUAUUUAUGAGUUAACGAUACUUGUAGUUUUAAUGUUAAUAUCUAUGAAUUUUUCUAAACAUCUUAGUUGCAUUCAUGCAUUGUUAAAAGGUUACUCAUUUUCCUAAGUAUAGAAGUUGUGAAUUUUUUUUUUAAAAAUGUAUAGUUCGUUUUGAGAGCGCAGUUGUGAACAGCACAUAUUAAAGAAGUAUGUGACGACUGGUGAGUGUGUGUGUGUGUAUGUGUGUGUAGUGAAGCAUUCACUUGAGAUGCUUAAGAUAAUAUUCGAGCAAACUCUGGCCUCAAGGUUUUACUUACCUCAAACCUAGCCUUGAUCUUCUCUUAAUUCACUGUUUAUUAACAUGGCUAAAAUCAUUUUCAUUUGCAAAUGCAAUAUCAUAUUAAUUGUGCUGCUACGUCUACUCAUAUGUUCUAUGUAGCAUAUGAAUUCUACUCAAUACCCUAACAUUACAGUGAAAAUUAAUUGAUAUUAUAAAGAAGUUGAGACUUUACCAAAGCAGCAAGGCAGCGGUUGCAAAAUUCAAAGGCUAAAGCUUUCACUUUGUUUCGAUUUGCAAAAUACCAAAAAAGAUAUUUACAAUCGAGGAAAGAAAACACAUUUCACUAAAGAAUGCACUUCAGCCAUUAUCAAAUUGUCAACCGAGCGAAACGCAUAAAACCAUACACAUAUACACAGCUGAAUUCUAUUCUUUUCAGCAGUUCCUGGUAAAAAAACCAAACCCCCUACAGAAAAUCAACAAAAACAAACCCUGGUCGUAUGACUCUUAGGCCUAGUCAAAUGAUCCUAUUCCAUAUCCAAAUGGGUUUUCUUAAAAAAACCAAUCUCUCAGUUAUCCUUUUCUUUUCUUCUUUCAAAAGUCAAAUCAAGACCAAAGUUUCACAGAUAAUGUAUACCCAGAAAAAUAAAAAGCAAAAUUAAUGUAUUUCAGAAAUGGACAUCGGGUCGAUGUUGAACCUUUAAAAUCUGUAAACCCAGCGAAUCAAAUGAGUAAAGAAAAAGAAAUCGAAAUCCUACUGUUCUGAAUUCAUUCUUCUGUUUGCUAAUCUAAAGAUGAAGGGAAAGUUAUCAUAGUUUCACUAUGCAAGAUUUCUUUAUGCCAGAUUUCAUUUGCAGGCACCAAAACACGCGCAAAAUUAAAGUUGGGGUCUUCAUACUCUAUUGGGUAUCUGAAGUCAUGUGAAAGCUCGGAAAUAACCAAACCAACAUCCAAUUUAGUACACACCUAAGAAAAACUUAAGCAAGAAAAUAUAUCCAACUGCUCAAUCAAUAAUCAAACACAGUAAUACAAUCAUUGAAAAAGUCUCAAUCCUUUAUCAAAAUUGAAUUAAUAAAAUUGAAUGUUGGGGUCAAAAUAAAAAAAAAGUAAUUUAAUUAUAGUUAACUAAUCAAGGUUAAGAUUAAUCAAAAAGCUUGAAAGUAUCAUAUCUAAAAUUACACCUCAGGCUGCAAGUAGAAUCAAAACCAUGGAAGAUCAAAACCACUAACCUUAAACACAGAGGUCUUCGUAGGCUUCAAAGAAAAGUCACCAACUCGAAAAACCCGAUCUCCUGAAAUCGAAAACAAAAUCAUAUUAACCAUCAUCACCCAGAAUCCAAAGCUCAACAGCUUGAAUCAAUUUCCAUACAUGAGUUCAUUACAUGCACAAAUGCAGCGUUUGGUGUGUGAGAAAAACAAAAGAAAACCCUUUUGAAAAGGUUUUCUUUCAUUGAACAGAAAGAUGAAAGUAACAUUUCACCACGACUAUGUUAAUUGAAUACAAAUUUUUUUUUGUGAUUAUUAAUUUAGUAUGGAUAAGGAUUAAGGGUGGCUAGUACAUGCAAACUUUCAAGCAUGACUUUGUUGUCGGAGAGGUUAUGUCAUGAAACCAAGUUUUAGUUUUAUAGAUUAUGCCAUGCAACCAAGUUUUAGAAAUACGUUAAGCACACAAAAAAAAUAAAAAAAUCUAACCUGUUCUCAACCUUGGGCCUAGUGCUAUAUCGUUUCAACAUUCAAAAAAUAUCGGUAAGGAUCUGAGUCGGAACAUAAGUGCUUACAAACUGUCUAUUGGUAGUAAGUUUUUGCGACACUGAGUUGAAGGCCUAAUGAAAGAUUCUGAACUAUUUUUGCAUAUGAAAGCAAUAAAACAGUUGUUGGAUGAUCAUCAUAUAGGGCCAUGGCUAGCUCCCCACUAUAUGUAUAUGCAGAGAACAGAAAAGGAGGCCAAGAUGUUAACCUUGAAACUCACCCCUAAACCUGCUUCUUUAAAUACAUUCCUUUGGUUUCACUCGUACUCAAAAACCGCAAAAGAUGUUUCCCCAAAAAUAAAACACAUCUCUCACUAAGUCUUGAUCAUACUGUUUCCACACACCCUUUCAUAUUAUUCUCCCUUCAAAACCUUUAUCUACCACUCUACCCUCUCCACAGCCAUGAGCUUCCCUAUUAGAUGAUAGGUUUGAGUUCGACCCUGAGGAGUGCAGUAUUGAGAACGGCAAGUGGGUGUUCAAAACCAAGAUUUUAAAAAGCAAUCUAUCAACAGAUGAGCAAAACAAUAACUAAAAGAGCCUUCUAACACCCUUAUCACAUAAAUACAGAAGCAACAAAGUACGGAGAAACAAUCUAGUAACAGAAAUACAUAAGCAACCAAGAUUUGCAAAAACAAUCUAUCAACAGAGGAGCAAAACAACAACUAAAACAGCCUUCUAACACCCUUAUCACAAAAAUAUAGAAGCAACAAAGUAUGGAGAAACAACCUAGUAACAGAGAGAUAUUCAAAGGAUGUAAAGCAGAAAGGAACCUCAGUUUGAUUUGUUGAGAAGGAAACAGGAGCAAAGCAUGAAGAAACACAGAAAUGAGCAGAGUGUAACUCCCAAAGUUAUAAAGACACAAACCUGACUCUAACAGUGCACGAAACAGUGCACUAACCAGAUUGAUCUUCCUAACACCCAACUAAACGGGCUAUAAAAUUCCUUUACAACUUGAUUGAAACUAUAAAAUGUUAAUCACAGUUUUAACAAAGCAAAUGGCAAACCAAACAAUAAACAAUGAUUAAAAACAGUGUUUGAGCUGUUGAAUCAGAGUACAAAACCUCUAAAUAUCCCUGCCACUCAAUCAAAUCAUGCUUUCUGCCCUCUCUGUCUCACUCUCCAUCCUUCUUUAAAAACAUUGGACAAAAUCCAUAAAUCUCUCCCACAACCCCAGAAACUGCAUGCAACCAUGUCUUCCCCAUUAAUUGUUGCAGAAAUGGCAUCCAGCUGGAUCCAAAAUCCCGAAAGGAACCCUACCCCUAGCCCUCCCCACUCGCCUCGCCGUCUCUCUGCGCACCCUUUGCUGUCGACUCUUAAAACCAAACUCUCAGGCACCCCUACCCUUGAUUCGCUCAUCCUACCCCUCUCUCUCUCCUCCCGUCUUUCCUCACAUCCCGUUUGAAACGCACGACUCUUCUCUCUCUCCUCUUCUCUCACCCACGACUCUUCCAUCUCUACUCUACUCUCUGCCAUUCUGCAAGCUACACUGGAUGACUCACGGCAUUCACCUCACCGCAUUCCUAUCCCUACCGAAACCAACCAAAUAAACCCAGCAGCCACAGGCCAAACCAGCAAAAGGCCAUCUGCCCAAACCCAAAAAAAAUCCCCCAGGCCGAACCCAAAACUUCCACAAAGCCCACUCAUUAAACCAAUGGUAUGGUUGUAAUUAAACUGAAAUUCAGGUGCAUGAACAGUAAGGAACAGUGACAAUUCCAAUGCUUUCUUUAGACUAAAGUAAUUCACUACAAAAUAUUAGAUGGAAGGAUAUGAAAGACUAGAUGCAAUGCAUCGAGAAUGAUUUGUAAAUGACAGCUUGAAAGGAGACAUUUAAAAAUACUUUGUUUAUGUGUGUAAUGAUCAUGUAGUGCAUUUCAAUAUCUAUGUCUACUGCUUUGUAGAUUUUUUUUUUUUUUUUUUUGAGAAGAAACAAUAUUAUUAAACAAAGUGAGAGAACUAGGAGUUUUAGCAUACAUAAGUCACAAGUCGUGUUAUCUGUCGACGUGAUAACAAAAGUCCCUCACCUCCACUAUAAGGGCUUGUGACAUCAUUAUGUGUGCAUUAUCAGAUUCCUUGCUUUUCUGUCUAUGAUAACCUCUGGGAAGACUAUGAAGACCCUGACAACAGAAUAUCUCCGCAUCAAAAUCCAAAAAGCCCCAUCAGCGAAGCAUUUUCAAAAUUUCAGACUAUAUGAGCACAAGCAUUGCAGGUGAUCCGGAACAAUGUGUCAAAACCUGUUAGCGACGUCUACAUUAAACUCCCGAAAACAAUGGUCGUAUUGUAGGGUCCUCACAGAACAACCUUGAUAACACAAACAAGUAAGGCAGACUGUGCUGCCCUUGAAUAGAAUACCAAGUAUCCUUACAUAUAUGCACAUAUCUUAGAUUAGUUUAUGUAGAAAGUAUAUUCAUUUCGGACAAAGUACCUGUCGAUUGAUCUAUCAAUAAAGUUAGCAGCAUGUGCUGCCCUUCAAGAACAAAUUCCCUGGUUGAUCCUGCUGAAAUGGCCAGAAUAAGUUACUUUCAAAAUACGAGGACCUGUAAAUAAUCUUGAAUGUAAGAUAGAUCUAUCAAUUAAAAGGAUACAUUUAUAAAUACUUUGUUUAUGUGUGUAAUGAUCAUGUAGUGCAUUUUAAAUGUCUAUAUCUAAUGUUUUGUUGAUUUCUAACAAAUUUAUCCUAAAUUGCUUGGUACUAUCAAACCCUUCAUCCAAACAUAGGGUGAGAGAACUAGGAGUUUUAGCAUACACAACUCACUGCCAUAGGACAAUACAAAUUAAGGCAAAACAAAUAGAUGUCAAAAUCCAAAAUGCCUUACUUCUUUGAGUCAUUAUGUGUGCAUUAUGCCCUUAUCAGACUCCUUGCUUUUUUGUUUAUGAAAACUCUGGGAAGACUAUGAAGAUCGUGAGGAAAGAAUAUCUCCGCAUAGAAAUCCAAAAAGCCCCAUAAGCGAAGCAUUUCCAAAUUUCUGAGUAUACGAGCACAAGCAUUGCAGGUAAUCCUGAACCAUGUGGCAAAACCUGUUUGUGAUGUCUACAUUAAACUCCUAAAAACAAUGCCCGUAUUGUAGGAUUCUCACAGAACAACCUUGACAUAACCAAGAAGUAUGGCAGACUUCCAUAACGAGCGGAGAUAUAGAGCUCAUGGUUCAGAUUGAUGCCUUGCAUUGGUCCUUCGGAAACCCUGAAAUAAAAUUAGAAAAGGAAUCUUGUGACUUAUUGGUCUUUUCUUAAUUUAUUCAUAUUUGUCCAGCUAAUCAAAGUGGUAAUCAAAGAUGGUCCUGAUUCAAAGAUGAAGAAAUAAUGAUUUAUAAAGUGAUCUUAAUUACUUGUGCAAGUUUGACAAUCUGGACCUUUUCCUUUUGUUAAUUAACUCGAGCCAAAUUCACACGUUGUUUUUGUGCAGAAACAUAUCGGCACCUAUGUAAAGAUGACAGAUGCAAUGAAAGAUGAGUAAGCAUUCCACCGUAUUCAAACCACAACAGUAAGAGGAAAAAAAAAACAUCAUCAAGGAGUUACCUCGUCCUGUGCAGGGGAGAAUCAUAUUGGUGUCAUAGCUAGCCAGAGCACCCAAUAACUUACUUGGUAUUGUAUGAAGUAAUUUAUGUAAGCAAACACUUGUUGCUAUUGGAUGAUAUUGUCCUGAAAUUUAAUUGAUUGAUAAAUUAAACACAGUAUAGCUGACAGUAAACAAUUGAAGUGAAACUUUUACAAAAUCUGAAUCUCGUAUGUACGUACCUGACUUUGAUUUGAGAUCUCAAUUGAUGAUGACUUGGUCGCCUAUCUCGAUGCAAGGAAUGUGAGCUAUCUUGCUCCAUUCUUCUCCCGUCUUCUCCUGACACCUCUUCUCCAGAGAAGAACAUAACUGGAAUCCCAGAUGACGGAGCGAUGCCGGCAAACCCUCUUUUGGCAGGAAUUCGAGACUAUCACAGCGGUAAAUUUGGAGCUUUUGAAGAGAAGUGAGGUGUUGAAGUCCCUUUCCCUCCAAAGAUUUCAGACUUUUCAUUCCAUAGAUUCGGAAAGUGUGAAGAGUGGGAGGAAGCAGCUGUUCCUUGAGCACCGUCUCCAACACAUCCUCGCUUCCCGAGAUCUCAAAUGUUCGAAGGGAGACAAGUCGUUGCGAACCCCAGUACUCCACUGAAGGCCUCAGUUUCUCACAACCACUGAUUCCAAAUAAUUGUAGGUUGGGAGGCAAACCUCCUUCUGCAAAUGACUCUACAUUUGGAAGACCAAA